rnacentral:lncRNA from 1 species
GAGGUUUUUGGUUCCAAUGAUCGCUGGGACGAAACUAAUAAUAAAUUUUGUGGUUUCGGGCAUAGAGAGAAUAUGAGUUUCGGCCCCAAACUUCAUUGUAUUCAAAAAUAAAUAAUGCUAUUAACACCGAAUAUCAUCAUUCUUUUAGAAUUGUGUAACAAGUAAUGUGAAGGAGCAAUGAUAUUCAAAACAUGCUUGAGAUGGAAGCAUUCUUCCUGCAACUGAAGGGAGAGGAAGACGCGAUUUCAUAGACUGCUUCAUUUUUCAGAGGUUCUAACCAAAAGUUUAACCACUACAAGAAAACACAAAUUUAACGACGGCGGUUUUCCUCGCCAAUUCCUCGUAAAAUCGGGUUUACGAGGAAUUAGCGAGGAAACACGUUUCGUCGUUAAACGUUCGUCGUAACGCAUAUUUCCUAAUUUCGUCGUAAAGACGAAGAACAAUAUUUCGUCGUAAAGACCACGUAAAUAUUCCACGUAAGGACGUCGCUUCAUUUCCUCGUAAAUACCUCGAAAGGUGCCCCUCGUAAAUUACACGUAAAUAUCUCGAAAGUAUUUCCUCGUAAAGAACACGUAAAUAACUUGAAAGCAUUUCCUCGUAAAGUACUCAUUUAUUAUUCCUCGUCAUUUUCUCGUAAGGUUUUCCUCGUAAAAUACUCAUUAAGUUUCCACGUAAAGAAAUCGUAAAUUAGCUACGAAUUUGCUUCGUUUUAUUUGACAGAAUAUAAAAAUAUAAUUUAAAAAUAUUUAAUUUAAUAAUAAAAUUAAAAUUCUAAAAAAAAUUAAUACCAAAAUAUUUUAUAUAUAAAUAAGUUUUGAAUUUAUAAUACAAGAACCGAAAAAAAGAACUAAGAGUCGUUCAUCGCCCGGUAGAAUUCAUCACUCGUUCUCUCUACAUCCGCCUCGGCACAUGUGUGGGAUGAUGACUCGCCUGGAAUGGGAUUUUGUCGUCGCAAGUUCCUCAACAAGGACUCCCUUUCCGGAUUUGUGGCCGCUACAACGUCCAAGAAGCCCUCGAAUCCAUCCACACGAUCCAGUCACCCUUCCAGUUGGAGAUCGUGUCCAACAAGCGAACUUUCGCCUUCGCGUAAAACGCUUUCCUCACCCUCUUAGUGACCCCCAUGGACCAAUGAUAUUUUUGCUCUAAAUUUUUUUUUUUUAAUUUACAAUUAGUUUUUUUAAAAAAUAUAUAUAUAAAUCAUGAAAAAAUUAAAGUAUAUAGAAUUAAUGAAUAGUAACUUACAGCGUAAAUUUUGAACCACGUCUUUCUGACGUAGAUCGGGGUGUUUUUCCAGUUCGGAUGUGGCAUGGAGAAGUAACCUUUCAUCGUGUCGGUUACGUCCGAUGCAAGACAUCCGUCAACCCCAAACCUGGAAAAAAACAAAUUUAAAGUAUAAAUUAUUUAUUAAUGUUAUAAAAGAAUUUUUAAAAAAUUAUAAAGAAAAAUAAUUAAUGUAACAUACCACAAAGUGCCCUCCGGUCGGUCGGGGUUUAUGACUGGUAAACCUUCUCUGCCUGGCUGACUGAGAAUGUCCUCGACAGUGUACUGCGAGUAAGGAGCACUCGGAGGCACCAUCAAAUCGGGAUGAAUCUUGGCGGGCGUCGGAGGAGCCGACAGAGGAGGCACAUGAGGAGGCAUCGUCGGAGGAACCGAUGGUGCACUAGAAGAAGGCGACCAAGAGACUCUCUGAGAAGGCUGAGUCUCGGGGACAGUCUCCUAACUGGAAGAACCGGGAGCUGAAGAAGACGACGGGUCUAAACGACUAUCAGGCUCACCGAACAUCUGUCUGUAAUGGGGAGUAAGUCUGUUCUUUCGAAUCGUCUGGAAAAAAAUAUAUUUAAAAUUAACAUCCACAAUAAUUAACCAAUUCUAUAAAUGUAGCUAAAUUCUCUAUAUUAACCACCUAAUCAACACUAAUCAGUAAACCUAUCUAAAUUCCCUACANNNNNNNNNNNNNNNNNNNNNNNNNNNNNNNNNNNNNNNNUCCCUACACUAACCACCUAAUCUACUCUAAACGAAACAAAUUAGAGAGGAAAUAUAGAGAGAAAGUACCAUAGCUACGAAAGGGAGAGGAAGUGGAGAGGAAACGAGAGGCGAAGCUCGCGUGUAUAUAUAAGAAAUUAGUAGUCGUCGUAAAUUCCUCGUAAACUUACGUGGAAUUAGCGAGGCCCGUGUUUCGUUUCCUCGUAACUUCCUCGUAAACUACAUGGAACUAGCGAGGCUUGCUUUUCGUUUCCUCGUAAUUUCGUCGUUGGUUAACGAGGAAUUAGCGAGGCCCGUGUUUUUCUUUUACGAGGUCUUUACGACGAAUUGGGGAAAUUAGAUAAUUAUUUUAAGUUUCGUCGUAAAAUCUUUCGAAAUUUCCUAAAAAUACACACCAGUUUGCUUCUCAAAUCAAAGAUAAACUCACUAAUUUUCUUUUCAAAUCAGAGAUAAUUCACCAGUUUGCUUCUCAAAUUAGAAAGAUUUGAAAAAAAAGAUGGAGAGAAAGAUACAGGAACACAUGUGGGCGGAGACAAGGUUAGACUUACGUAUGUCUCGCUUUGUUUCUUCCCUUCUAUGAUUCCAGUAUCUUUUUUCUCUUCUUUUUUAUUGGUCGCUCAGUUACGAGGAAAUAGAAAGGCUGCUGUUAUUUUUCACGAGAAAAUAGCGAGGCCCGCCUUUACCUAAGACAAGGAAAUAUCGAGUCCCAUCUUUUCCUUAGACGAGGAAAUAGCGAGGCCCGCGUUUUCCUAAGAAGAGGAAAUAGCGAGGUCCGCGUUUUCCUAAGACGAGGUCGUUACGACGAUUGGCGCUUAUGUGGAAAUAGCGAGGCCCGCGUUCUUUUUGUCGUUAUUUCCUCGUAAGUUAACGAGGAACUAGCGACGAUUAUGUUUAAAUCCCUAAAAUCCAAAACCCCAUAUCCCAUCUUCCUUAUUUUCUACUUCAUAUAUUCCAAAACUCAAACCCAUCUUCCCUUUAACCUCAAUCUAUAUUCUUUCCAUUCCAAACCCCAAAUUAUAAAACCACAAUUCUUUAACUUAUAAUCUCAAUGUUUUAUUUCUAAUACAAACUCUCGUACCUUACACAAAGUCAAAUUAUUUCCAUUCCAAACCCCAAAGUCUAAUACAAACUCCCAUAUCUCACAUGCAUUAAGUCUGAAAAUAAAUCUUAUUAAAAACAAAUACACCAAUCGGAUACAUCGACAUUCUCGUCAUCACUAGAAACAUCAUCAUUUUCAUUAAACUCGUCUUCAACAGCUUCGUCCGUGGCAUCGUCGGUAAGAUCUUCGUACUCAUGAUUAUGCGGAUCAAUGAGAAGGAUGUCAUCAAUUUCUUGUUCAGGUUCCUCGACUUCAUUUAUCUGUUCUUCUUGCAGUGGUGGUUCUUCUCCACUGAUGAUUCGUCCUCGUGGUGUAACUUUGAUCACGGUCAACCAAUUUAUUCCCGAUUCUCUCAUCCGAGGGUAUGGAAGGAAGCUAACUUGGUCUGCUUGUGAAGCUAAGAUGAAAGACUCGAAUUUGUUGUACCUGCAAAUUAAAAUAAAGAAAACGUUGAAAUUAAUUUAACAACCUCAUGUAUGGCAAAAAAAGAAUUUGUUGUACCUUUGUCCACCAUUGACAUCAACUACACCGAAUUUGUUAAACCGAACACCUCUGUUGACGACGGGGUCAAACCAUUCACAUUUGAAGAGGACGCAUUUCAGCUUCAAUAUCCCUGGGAAUUCGACUUCAAUAAUCUCCGUCAAGAUCCCGUAGAAAUCUGUAUCCCUUUUCACACAUAUUCCAUAGUUACUGGUCGCCCGCUGUCUACCAUACUCAUAUGUGUGAAAAGUAUAGCUUCGUGUGAAAUACAUCUGUGAUGUGGUGACCUUUACAAGUGGAGAUUGAAUUACUUCGUGUGACCACUUAGGAUAAUCGGUAUCGUCGUCAUAAUCAACCUGCAAAAAUAAAGAGAACGUUGAAAUACAUAUAAUGUAUGAAAAAAUUAAGAGUUUGAGUUAAUAUCUGAUUCUUCAACCACUUAAUAAAGUAUUGAUCUUUCCUUUUGUCUACGUCACUUGUGGAUAUACCUGAGAAUGUUUCUUCGACUUGAGAAACAAAUAGGCUGUAAAAUCACAUUUUAUAUUAAUUAAUCUUUGGCAAUUAUAUAAUUUAUACUUAUAUGUGUUUAGAAGUGUCCAUAUAUGUUACCUUUCAAAAUAACGCAUCAAUGGAUCCUCGCAAUUGAGUAGAAUAUAUGUGUGUGCACUAUGAGCGUCUUAUUCACUCGACCACCAAACCUCUUUUAAUUUCCCACCGAGUCGUCCAAUCUGGCUAAAGAUGUUUGGAACACCAGCAACUAGAGCUGCUAAAUGGGUGAGCCUUCCAUUGGUUGCCCAUGUCCAUAAUUAAUUGGGCUUUAAUUGGUCACAACCACAUUUCCAUAUGGGUUUUAAAUGGUCAAAAAUCAGAAACCAAUGGGCCUAUGGGAGAUAAUGGGUUUGGUUACUGUGGACGUGGGCUGUCCAAUAAGCUAAAAUUUCUAGGGUUUUGAUUUGGAAAAAAAAAAUCAUUUCAACUUUCGGAGAACGAAAGUAUCGAUCUCUCUCUCCUUCAGCGAUUCGAGUGGCGGCCGAUUCAUCGAUCUCCGUUCUCCGUUCUAUCUCCGUUCUCCGUCCUAUCUCACCGAUCUCUCCGUUCUCCGUUCUAUCUCAUCGAUCUCUCCGUUCUCCGUCGUAUCUCCGUCUGUGACUCUCUUUCUCCGUCCGUUCGAGCUUGUCUCUUCAUCUGUAAGUCUGUGACUCCUUCAUCUAUGACUACUUGUUUGAGAUUUGAAAUGGGUUUUACUUGUUUGAGAUUUGAAAUGUGUUUUUACUUGUUUUGAGAUUUGAAAUGGGUAUCUCUUUGUUGACUGAUCAGUGGUUCCUCUGUUUCAUUGCUGGGUUUUGUUGAAUUUGUUUGCGUAAUUAGAUGGGGAUAAUCACAAGUGAUGUGUGUUUGCAGAUUCACUGGUAACGUAACGUUAACCUUAAAGGGAAGAAGCUCACAAGAAUAACAAGAGAAAAACUCCAGGUACUGUUUAUGACAUCUGUAUUAGUUCGUUUGUUUAAUGGUUUGUUUGCUUGAGAUGGGUAACUGAGAUGGGUAUGUUUCUGUUUGAGUAGUUUCUUUACUCUUUGAUGAUUUGAAAUGAGUUUUUACUUGUUUUGAGAUUUGAAAUGGGUAUCUCUUUGUUGACUGAUCAGUGGUUCAGUAGCUUCGGCUUUAGUUAUGACAUCUUUAUUAGUUCGUUUGUUUAAUGGUUUGUUUGCUUGAGAUGGGUAACUGAGAUGGGUCUGUUUCUGUUUGAGUAGUUUCUUUACUCUUUGAUUAUUUGAAAUGAGUAUCUUUACUCUUUGUUUCUUUUUAGCAGAUAAUUGUCUAACUUGUUCUCUGUUACUUGAGCUGUUCUUUGCUUGUUUGCUUGACAUGUUUCUUUACCAUUUGAGUAGUUUCUUUACCAUUUGAGAAGAUCGCCUCUGUUUCUUUUUAGAAGAUAUUUUUUUAUCAUACUUAAGAACAUUUUGUUUUAUUAUCAGUGAUGUAGAUGCUUUAAAUGUUUGCUAAAUUAUAUGCUAAAUUAUAUGAUUUUGAAAACUUUGUUUUCUUAUGAUUUUUCUGAAAAGUUCAUGUAGAAGAUCGCCUCUGUUUCUUUUUAGAAGAUAAUUGUCCAACUUGUUCUCUGUUUUACCGCUUCAGGAUGACACAGACUACAUGAGUGGGGAUGAGCUGAUGGAUCAAAACUCAGAUGGAGAUGGAGAUGGAGAUGGAGAUGAAGUAGUAGCAGUGGAAGAUACUCUCAUGAGCACAGCUGAAAACCACAUCAAAAGGAAAAGAGGAGGUAAACGCAGACACUCUAGAUGUUGGAACCAUUUUGAUAUAGUAGGAGAGAAGUAUCCAGAUGGUUCGAAUGAUGUUCAGUGUAAAUUUUGCAAACACUCGUACUGCUUUAACCUGCGUAGAAGUGGAACCUCGAGUCUUUUGCGUCAUAUGAGAAAUUGUUCUUUGAAUCCUGUCCCUAGUACACCUGGAACCGGUAGGAAGAUAGAUCAGCUUGUGUUUCUUGAGAUGAUUGCAGUAGCUUUGAUUGAGCACAACUUGCCUUAUUCCUUUGUUGAGUAUAGAAGAAUCAGGGAAGCAUGGCAUUAUUUGAAUCCGACUGUCGAGUUCUGGAGCAGAAGUACAACAGCUAGCGACUGCUUGAAGAUCUAUGAGAGGGAGAAGUUGAAACUGAGACAGAAGCUAAAAGAGAUUCCGGGAAGGAUUUGCUUGACGACAGACUUGUGGAGAGCUUUGACGGUUGAAGGGUAUCUGUGUUUGACGGCGCAUUACAUAGACAGUGAUUGGAGUCUGAAGUCGAGGAUUAUUGAAUUCUGCGCGUUUCCUCCUCCUCAUACGGGUGGUGCCAUAUCGAUGAAGAUAAUGGAGUUGCUGAGAGAAUGGGAGCUGGAGAAGAAAAUCUUCACCAUUACCGUGGACAAUGCGUCAUCAAAUGAUAACAUGCAGUCCAUUCUCAAGAAGCAGCUACGAAGGGAACUGGUCUGCAGUGGAGAGUUCUUCCACGUGAGGUGUGUCGCUCACAUCUUGAACUUGAUAGUUCAAGAUGGACUGAGUGUUAUUGGUGGAGCGUUGGAUAAAAUAAGAGAGAGUGUCAAGUUUGUGAAACUGACUGAAACUAGAGAGAGACUGUUUCAGAGUUGUGUGGAAGCAAUGGCAGCUAAACCUAAAGAUAAAGGUGUGUUGCCAGGGCUGGUUAUGGAUGUCUCAACAAGAUGGAACUCCACGCAUCUUAUGCUAGAGAGAGUCAUCAUGUAUAGAGAAGCCUUCCGCCACCUUGCUGAAGUGGAAGAAGCAUAUCAGUUCUGUCCAAGCGAAUUGGAAUGGGAGAGGGCAGAGCUUCUCUCCGACUUCUUGUCUCCAUUUGCUGAGAUGACCAAGCUUGUUUCUGGUUCUUCAUAUCCGACAUCUAACCUCUAUUUUAUGCAUGUGUGGAGAAUUGAGAACUGGCUGAAAGAAAACGAGUUCAGUGGAGAUGAAGUAAUCUGUGAGAUGGUGGCUUCAAUGAAGCCCAAGUUCAAUAAGUAUUGGGAGGAGUAUUCUGACAUCUUAGCCAUUGCUGCCGUGCUUGAUCCGAGACUGAAGUUUGCAUUCUUGGAAUACUGCUUCACAACGUUAGAUGCAGCCACAAGUAAGAUGAAAAUGGAUCAUGAUAAGAAGAAGAUAAGGAAGCUGUUUGGUGUUUAUAAGAAGAACACAAAGAAAAACAUGGCUUCAAGAUCAAAGCCUGCGCAAACCACUUUACCAGGAUAUGAUGUAAGCUUACUUACUUUGCUUUGUUUCAUUGCAUUGCUAACUUAGUCUCUAGAAGAAAACCAGACUAUGAUAGACGUUACUUCCUUUCGGUUGCAGGGGUUUUAUGCUUUCAUCUCACAGAAUGCUGGACCUGGUGGUAGUGGGAAAUCAACCUUGGAUAAGUACCUAGAAGAACCGGUUUUAGACAUGAUGGCCUUUCAGAGUUUGAAUGUUCUCUCCUAUUGGGGAGAGAAUGCUAAUCGAUUUAAGGAGCUUGCAUCAAUGGCAUGUGACGUCUUGAGCAUACCCAUCACCACGGUGGCUUCAGAAUCAUCCUUCAGCAUUGGCAGCCGUGUAUUGAACAAAUACAGAAGCUGCCUCCUUCCUUCGAAUGUGCGAGCACUGAUCUGCGCAAGGAAUUGGUUAAGGGGAUUUGAGGCUUUAGAUUGUAAGUUAUUUUCAUCUCUGUCUUUGAAUUUGGUUGUCUUUGAAACUGAUAAACGAAUUUGGUUAGAUGAUGAUGAGGAUUUUGAACCCUCCGAGGAAGUUGGAGAAGCAGAUCCAACAUGCCAUGUCUGAAGUAGAGUCUAUCUGUCUGAAGAGUAUGUGUGAGAACGUAUAUGUGUUUUUCGUUUGGAGAUAGCUCUUGGAUGCAUACCUUUGAUGUUAUUGUAUGAACAUGUGUUUUCUGUGGUUACUUGUUUUGUAGGGUUUAUGGAAGAAGAUGGAGGAGAAGAUAAGGAAGUAGCUUGACUUAUCACUUAUGUGUACUGAAGUUAUGUUAUGGACUUAUGAACUUAUAUAUGCACUUAUUACAUUUAUGGAGUUAUGUUAUGGAGUUAUGACCUCAUGAAUUUGUAUUUAUAUGGAGUUAUGGAGUUAUUAUUAAUAUGAACUUGUAUUUAUAUGUUUAUAGAUUAGAAUUCAAAAUUUUCUUUAAAUGGUCCUUAAUGGACUCAUGACAGCCCAUAUAAAUAUGGGUGUUAGUGGGUUUGGUCCUUAAUGGACAUGGUCCUUAAUGGACAUGGCCAUUCUCUGAUCAUAAACUAUAAAUGGACAAACGAAUAUGGGCUAAUGGACAUGGGCUCGCCCAUUUAGCAGCUCUACCAGCAACUGCAUAUGUUAGGCGCGACACUACCAUCAUCAUAUCUUCUUGGAGCUCUUUUCCGGGUACGUACUUUUGACGCAAAGUAGUACGAUGUGAAGUGAGAAGUUUCUUCCGUCAAACUUCCAGCAAUUACAGAACCUUCAACUUUUGCGAGGUUUUUUGCUUUUCCCUUCAAAUAUUUCAUGGCUCGCUUAUACUGAUACAUCCAUCCGUAAUGUACAGGUCCACGAAGCAAUGCCUCAUAUGGGAGGUGGACAGCUAGAUGCUCCAUGACGUCAAAAAUUCCCGGAGAAAAUAUAUUCACCAAGUUGCACAAUAAGAUGGGAAUGUUCUGCUGAAGCUGUUCCAUGACUUCUUCUUUAAGAGUGUGUGUGCUCAGAUCCCUGAAAAAUGCUCCAAUGCCUUGUAUAUCCCAAAAACAAUUAAACACAUUAUAUUAGUCAUAUAUUAUUGCAAACUAAACCAUUAUAAAAUUACUACGUUAUAAUAUACUAUCUGCAAGUGCUUCAUGUACGUUUGUUGGAAGUAGCUCCGCAAAUGCAAAGGGAAGUAGCCAUUGCAUAAAGACAUGACAAUCAUGACUCUUCAUCCUGGAGAACUUUUGACCCUUUUCAACACAUCUAGAGAGAUUUGAAACAUACCCAUCGGGAAACUUCACUUCUGAUGCCACCCAGUUGAACAACACCGACUUUUUUUCUAAAGACAAUCUAAAUAUCGGAACGGGAACUUGUGUUGAGGUCAAAAACAGUUAUUUCAAAAUCAACGGCUAUGAUUAUUUCUUAUUCACGGAUUUCUCGCAAAACAUUCACUGAAAGAAAGAUCGGAAGUGAACGAACGAGCGAAUCUCGUACAAAAGCCACUCGCCGGAGAGCUGAACCAUCACGCGGGUCAGCUCACCGGCGAGCUCAACCAUCACGUCUUUCAGCUCGACGGCGAUCUGAACCAACGUGUGGUUAUACUCGCCCGGCGAGCUCAACCAUCACGCCGGUCAGCUCGCCGGUCAGCUCGCCGGCGAGCUCAACCGUCGUGUGGUUGCACUCGCCGGCGAGCUCAACCGUCGUGUGGUUGCACUCGCUCGGCGAGCUCAACCAUCGCGCCGGUCAGCUCGCCGGCGAGCUGAACCGUCGUGUGGUUGUGCUCGCCGGCGAGUUCGGCAGUCACACGAGUAGGCUCGCCCAGCGAGCUCGACCUGAUCCCGGCCUGUCCGACUUACUUCGACUCUCGCAUCCUUCGUAUAGCUGUGAUAUCCGACCUUCGGGACCAUAUACAUCUCGUUUCGUUUUGAUUAAAGUUAUUCUCGAAGUUUUAUGACUAAAACCGAGAAAUCGUAUAAACGCCAAAAGGCCUAAGAACGGUCCACAAGGAUCUAAACUGGCCUAGAGGCCCAUCUAUGCUCCCAGAAGGGAUUCGAGCCCAUAAAAGUUAUGACAGUUUGUCCUAACUCGCAGAAAUACGAUAAAUGCUAUGUUUCCAAAGAUAAAUGUAAAGAUUCGAGGAUAACUAUCAAGAUCGACGAAAAAUGGAAUAUUCCCAAAAGAGAUAGACUUGGACCUGAAGGCGAAGGAUGGGCCACCGACCUAGAGCGACUAUAUAAGGAGAGAAGGAGCAGAAGAAAAGGGGAUCCGAGAAUUUAGAAUUAGAGAACUCCUGCUAGCUUAGAGAACUUAGGGCUUAGGUGGUUAGACUAGCUUGGCAAGGCUUAGGAUGUCUUGGCCGCUUCUUGUCCUGUUGUUCCGAUAGUUAGCAUAUCUCUACUCCUCUCGGAGAAAUCUUGUAUUCAUACUAUUCAAUAAAACGCCUCUGAGCGAUUAUCUAUCUUUUUAUCGUUCUAAAGUGAUUACGCAGAGAAUUCGGACCUUCAAGGAAAAACGGGUUCAUUCGGCUUUCCUCCAUUAUUAUUUAUUAUAAUCGACGGUGUGAAUUUUGGUUCCCACAACUUGUCCAUUGCUUUUUAUAUGUAACUCACUUCUUGAGCAAAUAUCCAGCAAGUCCAACCUCGAUUUUAUGUUGUCUUUUGUCUUCCCUGGGACAUUCAAUAUUGUAUUCAUGAUGUUCUCAAGGAAAUUCUUCUCUAUAUGCAUCACAUUGAGGUUGUGGCGUAGAAGAAGAUCCUUCCAAUAUGGCAACUCCCAAAAUAUACUCUUCUUGUGCCAAUUGUGAUGAACACCGUAAGAAUCAGGCAUAUUACGAGGGACAUGCCAAUUACCACCACAAGGAACUGUUUCGUUAGCUCCGUAGUAGUUGAUUUGCGCUUCAAUUUUCUCCAGUUAGAUAUGGAGGAGCAGUGUCUCUGACAACCCUUUUGUGCCUAAACAAAUUCUUGUUUUUUCGGUAUGGAUGGCCAAUGGGCAGAAAUCGACGGUGAUAAUCGAACCAACUUGUCUUCCUACCAUUCUUCAGUUGAAACGCAUCUGUCAUUUCAUUACAAUAUGGACAAGCUAAUCUCCCAUGUGUAGUCCAUCCAGACAACAUCCCAUAGGCAGGAAAGUCACUUAUGGUUCACAAAAGCAUCGCUCGCAUCGUAAAAUUCGUCUUCGUUGAGCAGUCAUACGUCCUCACCCCUGUUGCCCACAAAUCCUUCAACUCUUUUAUCAGUGGUUGUAGGAAAACAUCCAGAGAUCUUUUUGGAUGGUUAGGACCAGGUAUUAAUAUGGUCAAGAAUAGCAACUCCCGUUGCAUGCACAUCUCCCGUGGCAGGUUGUAUGGCGUAAGAAAGACUGGCCACAAUGAAUACUGUCUCCCUGACAUUCAAAAUGGACUAAAUCCAUCUGUGCAUAAUCCGAGAUACACAUUCCGGCUAUUGCUAGCGAAAUCCGGAUGUACUUUGUUAAAAUGUUUCCAGGCUCUUGCAUCUGAUGGAUGAGUCAUCUCACCAUCCAUUUGAGUAUGCUUGGCAUGCCAUCUCAUCUUUCCAGCAGUCUGCUCUGAUUGGUACAAUCUUUUCAACCUGUCUGUAAUUGGUAAGUACCACAUCCUUUGGUACGGUAUCCUAUUACGUCCCCGUCCUUGCGGCUUGAAUCGUGGCUUCUUGCAGAAUCGAUAUUCUUCUAACUUCUCAUCAUCUCCCCAGUAGAUCAUGCAGUUGUCGAUGCAAACAUCUAUCAUCUCCGAAGGCAACCCAAGACUAUAAAUCAGUUUCUGAAUCUCAUAAUAAGAAUCAGCAGACACAUUGUCUUCCGGCAAAUAUUCUUUAAACAAGUCUGCCCAUUCAUUCAUGCAAUUUUCAGGUAGAUUGUGAUCAGUUUUAAUAUUCAUCAUUCUAGCAGCCAACGACAAUUUAGAGAGACCUUCUCUACAACCACUGUAAAGUGGCUGGUUCGCCGCAUUUAACAUUUCAUAAAACUUUUUUGCAUCUAUAUUAGGUUCUUCAUCUUCAUCAUGAGCUACGAAUGCAUCAGCUACCAUAUCAUGAACCCUAUCAUAAUCUACCAUCUGCUCUUCCUGAUGGUAACUGUGUUCAUUAUGCAAAUGAUCAACCGGUUCUUCCUGAAAAAUGCUAUUACUACUACUAGCUUCAUUCUGAUCAUAAUUAUAACCUUCUCCAUGUUGAAACCAGAUAUAGUAAUUUGGCGUGAAACCUCUAUUUAUUAAUGCUUCCAAACAUUUUCGAAUUGUUGCAUUUCCGACAAGUACAAAACAUCUUACCACUUUCUUGGGCGAGCGGUAUGGAAUCUGCUUGAUGCAUAAAUGUCUCCAGCCCCGCAAGGUAUUCUUUCUUCACUCUCCCGUUAGCAUCUCUAUGGAUAUACAUCCACCUCCGCAACUCAAAAAUAUUCACGGACCCCGACAUUUUUUUCACGUUUUUUUUUUUGUUGGUGUGUUUAAAAUGAUGUUCAAAUGUCCAUUUUUAUAGGAAAUUUUUGAAUCUGAUAGUUGUAAUUUUCCUACGAAUUUACGAAGAAAUUUAGUUAGGAAAAACGUGUUAUUUAGUGGAUUCAAAAUUUCCUCGCUAAGUAGAUGUAAGAUAUUUCCUCGUAAAUUACACGCUAUAUUUACGUCGAGUUUACAAGGAAAGAGUAGUUCGUCGUUAAAGCCACGUGAUAUUACACCGGCUUUACGAUGAAAUCAUUUCGUUGUAACUUUACGAACAAAUAACGAUGAUUUUAUAUUUCCUCGUAAAGUCGACGUACAUUUACGAGGACUACUUUUCCUUGUUAAUUUUCCUCGCUAAAUUUGUAUUUUCUUGUAGUGAUCAUUGUUAAAGCGGAAUAGUAGAUUGACACAUAGAGAAUGCUUAUGAUCGAGCAAGCAAGGGCCAAUUCAGCCACAAUGUGAAUUGUGAAGAGGUUCUGAGCAGUUUUGGUUGUACUGGUUUGCUUAAAUUUGACAAGAGUUUGGUUUCCAAAGAAAAAGGACAUUCAUAAAGAACAAAGACCCUUUGAAACCAAAAAGCAAAGAGACAUUUAACUUCUUAUUACAUCAAACGAAAGAUGUUGUAGAGGUAUUGUUUCAACCCAUUAUUUUUCAUAAUACAACUUAUUAAACACCACUCGUUGAACUCUCGGUAACUUAGAAAGUAGGGAACAUCCUAAGACCCUUCGCGAACACAUUCUCUGUGGAUGUGUCAACCUCACGGAACUUAACAGGGAAAACAUUAUUAUCAUCAUUAUCACCUUCAAGAACAAGAAUGGGUGCUCCGAAAAACCCGGUGGUCGCACCAAUACCUUUUAUAACCGAGUCACUCUCGUAGUGAACUAGCUUGUAAGUCCUUUCAUCGUUUCCAUAUUUCUGAAUCCUGAAAAAGCUCUCUCUCGUGCUGGAGCUACCACCAGUGGUUACAUAGUUCUUGUCAGAACUUGAGGAGGUAUCGACUUUCCAUAUCUUUGAAGAAGGGCAGAGCCAUAUCGGAGACUGGAAUUCGAUAACUAGAUCGGUGUUUGUUGUCAAUACAUCAUCAUUUUGGGAAGACGGAUUGGAGAAAUUUACAGGAAGGCCUGGCUGAAAUGGAAGGAGUGUUUGGACAAUACCUAAUGGACACAAGUGAGUUAGGUCAGUGCUUGCUGGGACAAGACCGCCUCCUUUCUUGUCUGAACCUGGUUGGAUGAAGUACUGGGUUUGACUCUUGAGUGGGUUUCCAUUUGUGUCCUUGGCGGGUUCCACUUCAUCUUCAGCCGAUACUGCAACAGCUGAUACGAGAAGGAACAAAGUGAAGAAUGACAAUGGCUUAUUGUUACCCAUGGUAUUUCUUGUGUGACUUGAGUCCAAAGCAAACACAUUGAAAUGGGUAUUUAUAGCAGCAAAUUCAUGUUAUAAGGAACUUCGACCGUAAAAAUGUAAAAUCUUUGUUGCUUCAUAAGCUUCUCGUGACGCAGAAAAUGGCAAAUAUUUAUGAGCCAUGUGUACUGGUUCCUGUCAUUUUCAUGAAGGAUAAAGUUCUUUAUAACAUCAUGAUUAUUAGAUUAAUACGUUAUUAACCAAUUAUUUUGUAGGCAAACUAUAUGAUUAAUUUUGGAAAUAUUCACUUAGCAUAUGUCAUCUUAGCUAGGGGUCACCUUUUACACUAUUUAUUCCAGACAGAAGUUCUAUAUAUAUAUACCUUGAACUGCAAAGUUUCAAGUAAUCUGUUUGCUGUAAUCGUAAUUGCAGACACAAGGAAGAUUGAUGACAUGAAAUAUGAAGCUUGUUGUUAACAAUCGCCAAUCAAAUUAGAAGCGAAGCAAUCAAAACGUAUUGAGGCAAAUAUCGGUUUAGAAUUUGUAUAUUAUAAUGUAAAUGAAUAAUUUUACAAUGAUUUAGACUCAUAUUUAUAACAAGCUUAAAACAUGAUUUUCUUUUCAUUUUACUAGUAUACUGAGAUUUAAAACACAUCCAGAUAUAACGCUAUUCUAUUUACUAUUUAUGUUGAUGUUUAAAAUUGUACAAAAAUAAUGAAAAGAACAUAGUGCUAUUUUUUUGUAAUAUUGGAAAAUAAACAGAAUAUCAUUAUACACACUAUAGUUUUGUACACUGAAUGAUACGUUCCCACAAUUAUAGUGAUCGUUUUUUACGAUUGAAAUCAUAGUAUAUGUGAAAAGUUAUUUACUAAGCUGAAAAAACAAAAGGCGUACACAUUUUUGGACUGCAUAGAAAUGAUGAAAUUGAGAAAUAAAAGAUGAUUUUUUUUUUGCGAUAUAUAGGACAUUUUUUUUUCAUGGUGAUUAUUGAGUGACUUGAGUCUAAAGCAAACACAUUCAUAUGUCUAUUUGUUAAUUUGUUAGAAACAAACUACAAGUCUACAAUAAAAAGUAGAAAUAUUUUAUUGCUUGCUUGAACUUCUAUUGACGCUGUCAGAAACAAAAUUGGCCUAUUUUUCUUAACAGCAUGAGAAUCAUACGUGAUUAGCCACUUUGUCGUUUAACCACGUUUUUCGUAAAAUAUUCUCUUAACAUAAUAUAGCUUAAGAGCCACCGUUUAAUCUACUCUUUAUAAAAACAGAAGCAAUAAAGUAUUUUUUUUUAUUGUAACUGAUAAGUGAAACUUAUGAUCGCAGACACGAGAAAGAUUCACACAAUUGAUUUUUUUUUAAUGGGAGCACCUAAAAAGAUAAAGAUGAUAGUACUAUCCACCGCUAACUCAUGUUGAGGGGGGGGGGGGGGGUGAAAGACAAGAGAAACUAUGAGAAGAUAACUUCUUAUUCAUAUAUUGUUACGUAUCAGGUUAUAUACACAAGCUACAGACACAAGAUAACUAUCAAUCUCCUCGUCCUUAUCUCUAACUAUAACAACAAUAUUCUCUCCAAUAUACUCUCCUAUGGAUAUAUCGGUUCUAGACCUCUAGAACCUUAACACUCCCCCUCAAGUUGGAGCGUGUGGAUUGCACACUCCUAACUUGGACAACAAGUAAUGAAAUGCAGAGCUCCCCAACGCUAUUGUUAGAAUAUCCGCUAGCUGCUCGUUGGUCCUAACGUGCCUUGUUGCUAUCAGCUUAGCUUUCACUGCAUCUCUCACACUAUGACAAUCCUUCUCUACAUGCUUCGUACGCUCGUGGAACACCGGGUUCGCAGCAAUGUAGAUAGCUGACUUGCUAUCGCAGUACAAGUCCAUUGGACUAUCAUGUUUUACUCCAAGAUCAGCAAGCAACCUCUUCAACCACUUCAGCUCCUUCAACGCAUCCGACAUUGCUCUAUACUCGGACUCAGCUGAAGAGUGAGAAACUGUAUCCUGUUUCUUGGUUCUCCACGCCACCGGCGAGUUUCCCAACAACACUAUGUAAGCUGAGAGUGAUCUCCUCGUCAACGGACAUCCACACCAAUCAGAAUCACAAAACGCGCGUAUCUGUAGGUCACUAUCAGCUCUAAGCAUAAUACCCUGACCUGGACUUCCCUUCAAGUAGCGUAUGACUCUCAUCGCAGCAUUCCAAUGCUCCUCCCGUGGCUGAUGCAUCACUUGCGACAGUACAUGCACACAGUAACUCAAGUCCGGUCGAGUAAUAGUUAAAUACACCAGUCUACCUACUAUUUGACGGAACCGCACGGGAUCUUUACAGAGUGGACUUCUCUGCUCUCCUCGUUCUUCUCGCAGAAGCUUGUGAUUCACUUCCAUCGGAGUAGACACAGGUUUACUCGCAAGCAAACCAACCUCAUUUAUAAUAUCCAGUGCAUACUUCCUCUGAGACAAAAACAUCCCCUCGGGUCCUCUCGCAAUUUCUAUGCCCAGAAAAUACUUUGCUCUUCCAAGGUCUUUCAUGAGAAAGCACUUACUCAUAUACCUCUUGAAUCUCUCCAACAUUUCAAGAUCAUUUCCUGCUACAAUCAGGUCGUCCACAUAAAUAAGAACACGCACACAGCUUCCAUCUUUCUCAUAACAAAACAGAGAGUAAUCUUCAUAGGAUUGUACAAAACCAAAGCUCUUUAAAGCCUCCGUCAACUUCUCAAACCAGCACCUUGGAGCCUGUUUUAGUCCAUACAAAGACUUUCUCAAUCUACAUACCUUUCCAGGUUCAUCAGAAUGAAACCCUGGUGGCAAUCUCAUGUAUACUUCUUCCUCCAAAUCCCCAUGAAGAAACGCAUUACUCACAUCCAUCUGGUGCACCUCCCAGUUCUCUGCCACUGCAACCUCCAGUAGUGUGCGCACCGUAUCCAUCUUCGCAACGGGCGCAAAAGUUUCCUCAUAGUCCACACCUUCCACCUGAUGAUUACCACAACACACUAGCCUCGCUUUGUUUCUCUCUACUGUUCCAUCUGCGUUGUACUUGAUUGUAAACACCCAUUUACUUCCAAUCGCUUUUUUUCCUGCAGGAAGAUCCACAACAUCCCAUGUACGAUUCAACUCAAGAGCAUGAACUUCGCCUUUCACUGCCUUGUUCCAUCUCUUAUCUGCAAAGGCCUCUUUGUAAUUUUUAGGUAUCACUCCAGCACUAACGGCUGCGAGAAAGGCCUUGUGGUGCUCUGAGAAUUGAUCAUCAGAUACAUAAUCAGUAAUGGGAUAAAGUACUUGUGUCUUACCUGGCACCGCCGAGGAGACAUCUGAUCGCAGACCGGUGAUGGUGUCAUGUUUAUCAGAACCGACUUGUGCAUUGUAGACUACAUAAUCUUGUAGUUUGACUGAUGGAACUGUCUUUCUAUGUCCACGUCCAAGAGCCUCCUCUGGCGCAGUCUGAUCACUAACUUGCGGCGUUUCUUCCUGCACUUGUAUGUGCAUCUCAGCUUCUGUUCUCUGAGCCACCUCCGUAUCAGCGGUAGCUACUUCACCAGCAGUGUCAGCAGUGAUUACUUCACCGCUCCCCUUCACGGAGUAGAUUUCAUCAUCACACACAGACAUCAUCUGCGGCACCAUAUCAGUCUCAGCUACUUCUUUUUUUUCAUAAGGAUAACACUCCUCAUCAAAUACCACAUCCCUAGAGACAAAGAACUCAUUCUUGUCCAUGUCAUACACCUUCCAUCCCUUCUUUCCAAAAGGGUAUCCAACAAAAACACAUCUCUUACUCCGUAUUCCAAACUUGUCUUUGUCUCUUCUUGCUUGGUGCACAAAGCACAAGCACCCGAAUGUCUUCACCACUGCAUACGAUGGUGGCUUCCCAUACAAGCACUCAUACGGCGUCUUUCCAUUCAGUACUUUCGUCGGUGUCCUGUUUAUGAGAUAAGCUGCUGUUAGAACACUCUCUCCCCAAAACCGAACAGGAAGACUAGCCUGAAAGAGUAGCGAGCGCGCGACAUUGAGUAUAUGCCUAUGCUUUCUCUCUACACGCCCGUUCUGCUGAGGAGUGCUCACACAAGAUGUCUGAUGAACUAUUCCUUUCUCUGCAAAGUAGUUCGACAAGCACAUAAACUCUGUCCCAUUAUCACUCCUCACCGUCUUGACCAGUUUACCAAACUGUCGAUGUGUGAGAUUGAGGAAAUUCGGCAACACUUUCUUUACCUCACUUUUCUCAAGCAGUAGAUGGAUCCAUACAGCUCUUGAAAAAUCAUCUACAAUUGUGAGAAAGUAUUUUGCUCCACACGAAGAAGAUACACGAUAGGGUCCCCAAAGAUCAACAUGAAUCAAAUCAAAUGGAGCUAAACUUUUAUUAAGACUUUCUGAGAACACUUCUCUUGUUUGUUUAGACUGAAAACAAAUAUCACAUCCACCAAACUUGUUUGGGACGUCUUUAACACCAGAUACAAAAGGUAAAAAACUCAAAACACCAUAAGCAGGAUGUCCUAGACGACGAUGCCACACAGCCUGAUCCUCUGAAGCUUUAACUCUGUGACCCCUCGCCACUGUUACAUCCCGAUAAACAUAGACACCAUCUUUAACUUCACCGGCUCCAAUCAGAGUCCUCGUAAAACGGUCCUGCAAAAUACACAACGUAUCUGUGAAUACAGCCAAGCAACCAGUUUGUCUCAGUAACUUCGCAACAGAUAACAAAGUACAAUUCAAAUUUGGAACAAAUAAGACAUGAUCCAAUUUCAACUUUGCGGACAAACGCAGACAACCACUUUUAGUAGCCAUAACCUGGCUUCCAUCCGCAAAGCUCACUGGACAAGGGACUAUAUGUUGAACAUCAACUAACAACAUCAAGUCCCCUGUCAUGUGAUGCGACGCGCCAGUAUCAAUGAUAACCUCACCAGUUUGUACCAUACCAUUCAACCGAUCCGGGAUUGGAGACGGCUUCUGACGUUCGAGCAAUGAUGUGAGAGACGCCCAUUGUUCAGGAGUCAACUGUGGAACUGAUGAUCCUUGAUUACCGGCAGAGUUUCCAGCUUGAACCGCAUUAGCUCGUGUGGAGUUUGAUCUUCCUCUGCCACCUCUUCCUCUGCCACCUCUACCACUUGCCUGAUUUCUUUCUGUAAACCACUCAGGGAAUCCAAUGAGCUGCCAACAUUCCUUCUUCUCGUGUCCAGCUCUGCCACAGUUGCUACACACUAUCGAGGAACGACUCUUUGCAACCGCAGCCAUCGCCGCACUCACUGUUUGAUCAUCGUCUCCUUCUCGCUGAACACUUUUCAUCGUAAAUCCCACUGGCGUCUCCUUCUCGCUGAACACUUUAUACACAAGCUACAGACACAAGAUAACUAUCAAUCUCCUCGUCCUUAUCUCUAACUAUAACAACAAUAUUCUCUCCAAUAUACUCUCCUAUGGAUAUAUCGGUUCUAGACCUCUAGAACCUUAACAGGAGGAAAUCGCCUAUUCCCCUAUAAACUAAUUGUUUAUGGUUCUUUUACACAAAAACUUUUAAACGAUGUCAAAAAUUGCAUGAAAAUCGAAAAAAUAGCUUAUUCCCAUAUAAACUAAUUGUUUUUAGUUUUUUUACGUACAAACUUUUAAACCAUAUCAAAAAGGAAAAUUUACUAAUAAAGAACAAAAAAACUUAUUCAUUGUCCCCUUAGAAUAGUAUUAGGGAUUCUUUUACACUUAGAAAUAAUAUUAAGGUAAAUCCAAUUUUAACCCUCUAAUUAUACAAUUUAAAAACAAAUUAAAAGAAAAACUAAUUUUCAUAUAUAGUCCCAUUUACUCAUUAUUUACCGACUUCAAAAACACGGUUUACCCGUCGCAGAGUUUUCAAGUUCUCGCCGGCGUCUCUUCGUUCGUCACCUCUCUUUGGUACAACCUACAACUCUUCAAAGAUCUCUUUGAACAUGGUGGAAUUGAAAGUUUUCUCUAGAAACAAGAGGUUCUUUCAACAUUCUUCUUCCGUAAGACUAGUAUAGCUAACGUGACAGAUGGUUUUUAUGUGGUUCUUAGCCACACUGUGUCUGUUUUUUUUUCAAUUCAGGGAAAAAUCUAAGGAAACACAAUGCAACAGCCGACCAGCCGAAAUCAAUGCUACAUUUGGAGAUUCGUUCAUGACUUGUAGCAGUAGAACCAAGCCAAUUAUUUGUUUCUCAUCACAGCCGACAUUAAACCAACUUAAUAUUGUAGCAGACCAUGCCGUUUUGCUGAUUUUGUUUGCUCUCAUUAGGUCUUGAUGUGAUCAUUGACCUCUCUUUUAUGUGACUGGUUUCUAUUGUUUACAAGUAUGGAAACAUGUUUUGUUGCUCUGCUCUUGCUGUCGAGACGUGUUUCGUUUGGGUACUUUACGGUUUGUUAUAGUUGAGACAACAUUUAUGGACUUGGAAAAAAGGAAAUUAAACUCAGUUUUAUAUUUAUGGAUUUGGAGAAAAAAAAGAAAACUCAGUUUGAAAAGUCAUGAGGUGAGCAAUCUGUUGGGACCUUGUCAUCAAACUCAUCAGUGGAGUCAAGAACUAUUCGCCUUGUUGGACUUCUUCUUCCCUUUGUUGGCAUACGAUAGUUAAACGCAUAUUCCUUCUCUUUAGCUUCUCAAGCUUUUUAUCACUACCUUCAUUAUCAUUGACAAUAGAAAGUGAAAUAAGAAAGUGAAGAAAAACUUUGGUGAAGAAGAAGAAGUUUGUUAAUUUAUGGCAAAAAACUAAAAAAAGAAAAUAAACAAGAUUUAAAAGAUUUUAGGAAUAUUUUAUAACUGUUUUUAGCUAGAUUUUCGAAUUUUUUUUACAAAUCUAGUAGAACUUACAUUCUACCAAAGUUGGAAAAGAGAUGAAGUGGUAGAUGUGAAAAACUGAGAUCGUAGAGAAAGGAAAAGUGUGAAGAAAGUAUGUUCUGCCGAGGCAGAUAUGAUAACUUUUAUUAUGCCAUAUAAUCUACCAAAUACACAGAACAUAGAAGAAAAUGUAGAUUUGUUAUUCUGUCUUAGUAGGUUGAAAUGUUUUGGUGUAUUGUGCAUUCUACCUUGGGUAGAUCAUUGUGUCUUAGGUAGACUGUAUAUUCUAAGUCGUCGUAGAUGGUAGAUUUGAUAUACUAACACCUUUAGCCUAUGUUUAAAUUUACUAUUCCAAAUAUUUUUUGAAUCCAAAAAUAUUUUUUAUAUAUGCACAUUCUUGACUACUUCAUGUUUUAUAUUUUUCUUAAUUUUUUUGCAUUGUAAAUAUAUUGAUAUGAAUUUUGAUUUAUAAGAAGGGUAAUGAAAGUCCAAAAGUGAUAAAAUUUGAUUUCGUACUAAGGGAAAAAUAGUUUAGUUUACUUGUUCUGUUUUCCCAAAAUUCCCUAUCAAAAAACACAUGAAUAACUUUAUUUUUUUAAUUACAUAUACAAACUAUCGAUUUUAAACUAAUUUCCCUAAAACCGUAAACAAUGUUAUUUAAACUUAACUUGAUUUAUGACAGGUGGAAAGUCGAUUGAAUUUGAGUUGAUAAAAAAUAUUACGCCAUUUUAUUCUUUUUCUUUUUUUUAGCAACUGCUCUUCUUCUUUAGAAAUCGUUUUACUCUUCAUCAUCAAUUGGGGAUUAAAUUUAUUUUUCUGCAGCAGAAUAAAACGUUUUACAUGAUGCAUAAAGAAAGAAGAGCAACAAUGCUAGCUUACCAAUCUCCAUGUAUUCCCACAAGAAACUAUAAAACCGGUGCAGUUCUCCAAUUGAUGAUGAAGAGUAAAACGAUUUAUGAAGAAAAUAAGCAAUUGACAAAAAAAAACAAUAAAACAAAGUAGUAUUUUUUUUAUCAACACAAAUUAAACCGGUUCUCCAUCUAUCAUAAACCAAGUUAACGUUUAAAUAACAAGUUUACGAUUUUAGGGGAAUUCGUUUAAAUCGAUAGUUUGUGUAUGUAAUUCAGAAAAUAGAGUUGUUCAUGUGUUUUUUGGUAUGAUUUAAAAGUUCGUGUAUGAAAAAGCCAGGAACAACUAGUUCAUAGGGAAAUAAACCAUUUUCUAUAGUUCAUGUGGUUUUUGGCAUGAUUUCAAAAUUUAUGUGUGAAAAAACCGGAAACAACUAAUUCAUACGAAAAUAUGUCAUUUUUUAGAGUAAGCUGAAAAGUAUCAGCGACAUAUUUUUUGUUCCUUGCAUGUAUUAAUUAAUACACCGAAUUUAACAAAUGUGUAAGAGCACCAUUAAUGGUGGAUUUCUACCCAUAGAUUUCUAAAGAUUAAUUAAUUAAUAUUCUAAAAUGGUUGAAUCUGAAUAAUUAAAUUUUAAGUCUAAAAAAGUGUGUACCACUAAUAGAAUGCCACAUUUCUAAUAGAAUGCCAUCUUUCGUCAUCAUCUCUGAAUUCUUCUGAAAUGCUUCUUCGUUACGAGACGAUUCUCGUUUUUUCUAUUGUCUCUCUCAUGCUUUUGACUUUUUUAUUAUUUUAUUUUGGGAAGAUACCCAUGAAAAGAAAGAUGAUAUUGUUGCUCUAAUAUUUAAAUGGAAGAAACUCUCUCUACGGAAAGACUAAUAUGUUGCACGGUGUUAAAGACAAGAACAGAGGUGAACACAUAGCACUGCUGCCGUAAAUGAUACUAGGUGGUUGAUUCAAUGUUUAAUAUAAACUAGAGUCUGAAUCCGUACAUUCGUGCAUAUAUAUUUUUUUUUUUAUAAAUAUAUAAUUUUGAUAUUAUCCUAGAUGUCAUAAAUUAUAUAUGAUUUAGAUUUUAGUAGUAUAUAUUUUGUAACUCUAUAAUCUUAUUGUUUAGAUUUCUUAUUUGACAUUAUUAAUAUAUAGUGAUCUAUUUUAUGUAUUUUAUUUUAUUUUAUUAAUUAUUUCAUACAAUAUAUUUUUAACAUUAAUUUAGUUAUACUUUUAUAUUUUUAUAGUAUAACUAACCAUUUUAGAAAUGAUGAUAUAAUAUGUUAGCUCACAUCUCAGUAAAAUGUGUUUUAAUUAAAAUCACAUAUUAUAGCAAUUAUAUAUAUAUAUAGUAAUAUAGCUUUGAAAAUAUUAAAGGUUAAUUAUAUUAUAAAAAUCAUAUAGUUGUAUAACCAUAAUUUACCAAUCAUAAAUUCAUACUAAUUGGCCAAAAUCGAAGCAAUGUUGUUGUAUAUAUCUGACACACCACAACUAAUUAAAUACAAUAAUUCUAUUAGGCUUUGGAAAGUUUUAAAUACUAUAAUAAAUAAGAAACAAUUAAAUUCAAUAAAAUGUUGAUAGUUUUAAAUGAAAAUAAAUGGCGAAAGUUUGACGAAUAUAUAGUAAAUUAGGAUGAAACUAAUUAAUGUUGUUAGCCAUAAAAAUAGGAGUAGCACAUUUGUAAUAUUGGAAGUAAACUAAGGGAACUUCAAAAAAUCUCUUAUUUAAUUAUAUUGAUAUCCAUUUCUAGUGAGAUAUGAAUAGGUCCAAAACUUAAAUAACAAUAUUUAUAAAUAGAUAAAAAAAAAUAGGACUCUAGAUUAAUAGAAUGAAUAUAUAAAUAUGAAUCGAUUGAUUAAUCAAAUUUAUAAAAAGCAAAAGAAUGAAAAUUUAUAAAAACCAAAUAAAACCAUGCGAUUAAUGAAAAUUUAUGAAUAACCAAAUACAUAAAUAUGAAUCAAUUGAUUCAUAAAAUCAAGAUUGAAUAUAAAGCUCAAACCUAAUUCAACUUAUCCUGUCAUAACUUGACUAAAGCUAAAGCCUAAGAGCGUCCGCAACGGGGGUUCAUCCCGAAUCCUUAACGCUAAAGCAUAUGUUAGUUUUAAUAUGAUAAUAAUAUUUAGGCUAAUAAACGUAAGGAUUGGUCCGUAAUUAGGAGGUUUAAGGACUUGAUCCUUGUGGUACGUGGUCGAAUUUGAGUGGAUCGGUCGUUAAAGCUGGAGAUUUAUUAGUUCUUUAGAAUCAGUCUUCUUCUUCCCCUCAGCGAUAGUCGGAGAGAUAUUUUCCCGUCGAAGAAAAUGAAGAUUGACGAUAACGAAGGCGUCUCAGCUCCCAGCAAGCACCUGGUCUUAGCUUACUACGUCACUGGACACGGCUUCGGUCACGCCACCCGCGUCGUCGAGGUUUUCCUUCUGACCCUCUCUCUAUCUGCAUCAUUCUUAUCUGUGACUACUGCGUUAGUUCGAUCGUGGCUAAUUUGUGGCAAUUCAGGUUGUCAGUCACUUGAUCGCAGCCGGGCAUGACGUUCAUGUCGUCACCGGCGCGCCUGAUUUCCGAGAUUCAGUCUCCUAGGCUUAAGAUUCGAAAGGUUUCUAUCGAUCAUUUACUUGCUUACUCUUUCAAUUGUUUACUGGAAACAUAAGGAUAUAUUGAUUAAUUGGCGAUUGUUAGGUUCUUUUGGACUGUGGAGCUGUGCAAGCUGAUGCUCUGACUGUAGAUCGUCUUGCCUCCUUAGAAAAGGUUUUAACUAAUGUGAUCACUUGUAAAUGAUUAUUGGUCUUAUCUUGAUUGCAAUUUCCAAAACUUUACACUUUUUUGUGAUGCUGCCACUUCCACAGUAUGUGGAAACAACUGUGGUUCCUCGAGCUGAAAUCUUGAAAACAGAAGUGGAGUGGCUUCAUUCUAUCAAAACUGAUUUCGUGGUAAUUAAUUUUUUCUUUUCAUACAAUCUCUCGGCCCAUCGUUAACUUAUCUUGGACUUUUGCUUUGUAAAAUUCACUUGGAGAAUUUUUCACGUUUGUUAAACACAGGUGUCUGAUGUUGUCCCCGUAGCGUGCCGUGCAGCGGCUGAUGCUGGCAUACGUUCUGUCUGUGUCACCAAUUUCAGGUGACGUUUUUUAAUAUCAUACUUUCAGUUUUGGUGUAUCUUGUUUGGCCUUCUGAGGUCUUGAGCGUGUUGUAGUCCACGUUCACAUCCUAGCUUUUGUUAUCAAGUGUUCAACUCCCCUAUUUUAGAAGAAAAUGUUUAUAGUGAAAAUAUAGUUACAAAUUGAUUUUCUGCCAUGAUCGAAUUGAAUAGCGCAAAUUGGUUUCAUACUCAGCUUGAUCCUUGAAGUUAGACUUUCCAUUGAUUCAUGAUUGACCAAAAAUUUGAUGCUGAAUGGUUGAGCUAGGAUUCAAUGUAGGUGACACCAUUGUACACAUCAUUUUUAAUUACAAUCCUUAACUAUUCAAAAAGUAAAAAAAAACAAAAAAAAAUAAUAUUCUAAUCCUAAGGAUUCGACCUCCCAGCCUCACCGUUGCGCAUGCUGCAAAUUUGUUGGAAGGAUCUUUGAUCUGACCAACAAACAAAACAGUUCCAGUUUUGUCUUCCCUAAUUAAGAACAAAAAUGGAUGACCUGCCACAAAAUCUAUCCUCUUAGGAGGCUCCAUAUAUCUCGCACAUCCACAACUGACUACAAAAGUGGCAGCAGCAGCUUUGGCGCCUUCUUCAUCAAUCUCCACACAUGCUUUAUGAUACAACGCCAUUGAACGUAAUCCCAAGUCUUUGGCCGUCUAAACCAUAAGCAAUCUUAAACUUUGGGAUUCUGAAUUUAUUAACUAAAACUUUGGAUAUUGGAACGUGACAAUCCACGAAUCCAGAAGUAGUUGUCAUUGCCUUCAUAAGAUCAUCCAAUCCAUCAUUCUUGUCUGGGAGAUAAAAGUACAUCGAGAAGCUGCCAUUGGUAGCAUCAACUACUUGACGAUAAGGAAAGCUGCGAUUAGUAUCGACAUCAUUGCCUUGUCGGUAAGGUAUCCUGAGGACCUUGAAACCAUCAUAAGCCUUUAUGUAUUGGUUCUUGUAGCUACUCAUGAAUGGCACGAACACUGAGGUUCCACUGAGAAGUUGGAACUCUUUGUCUUUUGUGUAAGACUUGUCGAAUGGAACUUCCCAUGCUCCUUUGAAGUACAGUGCGUUUCCAAAAACGCAGCCGGUUUGACUCGAGACGGAUCCAGGAGGAAGAAGAUCUUUGAUGAGAUCAUUGGUAUGAUCUUCAGCCCAUUUAUUCAGCUCUAUACGAACUUUUUUGGCCUGUUGUAUCAAAUUUUUAUGUCAGACAGAACAUAGAAACAGAAUUAAAUCAAGAAACAGAACUUAGGAUUAAAAAGGUUACGUUUGUUAGGAAGUCUACGCCAUCGAAAGCAGCUUUGAAGACAUUCUCAAAGAGAUCCUUGAACGAUGAAUCAAUGGGCAGCGUUUGCACGAUCCAGACCCCGUUGACGGACGUGAUCUUUGGUCCACCGUUGGCGCUAUGGUCAGCGAAGACAACGGAAACGAGCUUGCUGAAGACGGCGUUGAGUUCGUGGGUUGAAGAAGACCUCAGGAAGGAGAGGAUCUCGUUGGAGACUGAAGAACCGUCAGGGCCAGAUGCCGCCAAAGUGAGCACUGUUAGGAGUGAACCUAAUCACCCCUUUGAUACCUUAGAACACAAGUUGCUUUGAUGCCAAUUAAGGCCCCUCCUCAAAGCUAAGAGAGUUUGUGAAAGAACAAACUAAAUAAACCAAACAAGUUACUACAAUUUUCUCUUCUCCUUUCAUUUAACUCCAACUCACUAUUUAAAUACAAAGCUAGAAGAAAUAAACUAACUACUACUACGUAAGAUGUGGGUGCAACACACAUCCUCAAAUCAUGGAAACAUAACUACACUAAAUAAAAGACAAUAUAAUAAUAACUAAAAUAUUUGAACAAUGAAGAUGGUCUUCAUGGAGAUGGCCACGUCUUCUUCUUCUUCGUAUUGUAUCUCAUCAAUACUCCCAUCCUCCAAACAACCUUGUCCUCAAGGUUGGACACAAAACAUGGAAAGCUUGUCUGAACCUGUUCUAUUCAAACAUGUCUUACACGCUUGCUUAAUGAAGAAUCGCAUUGUGGUGGUGGAGGUAAUUGACUUGGGCUUGAAUUCCUUUGCUGAACACACGGGGAUGUGUGACUUCUUAUCACGUAAAGGUGGUGGUCUACCAGGGAGUGGUUCAUCUUCAACGACACAUACCUCCGAGACAUACACAUGAAAAAUCUUGUGUAGCAAUGAGUGUUUGGCUAGUAGGAGACUGUAAACAACUUGAUCAAACCGGUUGAUACAAAUCUUCAAACGAACCUCGUCGUCACCGUUACGCCCACGAUCAAACGGUUGUUUCCCAUAAGUACCAAAUAAGACAUCUUUGACACGACUGGGUAAAGCGCAAGAUCCAGACCCAUACUUGGAAGUUAAAUCGUUUAUGCUCUACUGUUGCUUGAAUCGAGAAGUGCGAGGCUUGUGUCCCAUCGGAGAAGAUUGUGCUCGUAGACUUUUUGGUGGUGCAGUCUUGUGAGCCAAGUUUUCUUGUGCACAUAGUGGUGCAUUACCACCAUCAGAUCUUCUUCCACUAAGUUUGAUCUUUUUCACUAUCUCCAUCAUAUGAUUCAUGGUUGCCUUGAGACUUUUAAAAUCUUCAGUUAUACUAACUUUUAUCUUUUGGAACUCGGCAUGAACUUUAUGGAGCAAGUCAGCUUGCACUUCAUGAAAUACGUCAUACACCGGCUCGCUCUCGCCAAUAGAGUAUGAGAAGUGAUCGUAAUAAUCUUCACUUUCAUGAAGUUGUUGAAACAUUAUUUUUUUUGUGUGGAUGAAAAUGAUUUGAUACCACAAUUAAGUGGUCCGGAUCAAAUUGCUUAGAACACAAUUUGCUUUGAUGCCAAUUAAGACCCCUUCUCAAAGCUAAGAGAGUUUGUGAAAGAACAAACUAAAUAAACCAAACAAGUUACUACAAUUUUUUCUUCUCCUUUCAUUUAACUCCAACUCACUAUUUAAAUACAAAGCUAGAAGAAAUAAGCUAACUACUACUACGUAAGAUGUGGGUGCAACACACAUCCUCAAAUCAUGGAAACAUAACUACACUAAAUAAAAGACAAUAUAAUAAUAACUAAAAUAUUUGAACAAUGAAGAUGGUCUUCAUGGAGAUGGCCACGUCUUCUUCUUCUUCGUAUUGUAUCUCAUCAAUACUCCCAUCCUCCAAACAACCUUGUCCUCAAGGUUGGACACAAAACAUGGAAAGCUUGUCUGAACCUGUUCUAGUCAAACAUGUCUUACACGCUUGCUUAAUGAAGAAUCGCAUUGUGGUAGUGGAAGUAAUUGACUUGGGCUUGAAUUCUUUUGCUGAACACACGGGGCUAUGUGACUUCUUAUCACGUAAAGGUGGUGGUCUACCAGGGAGUGGUUCAUCUUCAACGACACAUACCUCCGAGACAUACACAUGAAAAAUCUUGUGUAGCAAUGAGUGUUUGGCUAGUAGGAGACUGUAAACAACUUGAUCAAACCGGUUGAUACAAAUCUUCAAACGAACCUCGUCGUCACCGUUACGCCCACGAUCAAACGGUUGUUUCCCAUAAGUACCAAAUAAAACAUCUUUGACACGACUGGGUAAAGCGCAAGAUCCAGACCCAUACUUGGACGAGUUAAAUCGUUUAUGCUCUACUGGUUGCUUGAAUCGAGAAGUGCGAGGCUUGUGUCCCAUCGGAGAAGAUUGUGUUCGUAGACGUUUUGGUGGUGCAGUCUUGUGAGCCAAGUUUUCUUGUGCACAUAGUGGUGUAUUACCACCAUCAGAUCUUCUUCCACUAAGUUUGAUCUUUUUCACUAUCUCCAUCAUAUGAUUCAUGGUUGCCUUGAGACUUCUAAAAUCUUCAGUUAUACUAACAUUCAUCUUUUGGAACUCAGCAUGAACUUUAUGGAGCAACUCAGCUUGCACUUCAUGAAAUACGUCAUACACCGGCUCGCUCUCGCCAACAGAGUAUGAGAAGUGAUCGUAAUAAUCUUCACUUUCAUGAAGUUGUUGAAACUUUUUUUUUUGUGUGGAUGAAAAUGAUUUGCUACCACAAUUAAGUGGUCCGGAUCAAAUUGCUUAGAACACAAUUUGCUUUGAUGCCAAUUAAGACCCCUCUUCAAAGUUAAGAGAGUUUGCGAAAGAACAAACUAAAUAAACCAAACAAGUUACUACAAUUUUCUCUUCUCCUUUCAUUUAACUUCAACUCACUAUUUAAAUAUAAAGCUAGAAAAAAUAAACUAACUACUACUAUGUAAGAUGUGGGUGCAACACAUAUCCUCAAAUCAUGGAAACAUAACUCCACUAAAUAAAAGACAAUAUAAUAAUAAUUAAAAUAUUUGAACAAUGAAGAUGGUCUUCAUGGAGAUGACCAAGUCUUCUUCUUCGUACUGUAUCUCAUCAAGCGCGGAGUUUAUCGACGCUGGUGAGAAAAAGGAGUUAGAGUGUUUGGCUUUGGUAGAGAAGAGAUGCUUCGAAACGAUCAGCGCAUGUCCUUUUGGUUCUUAAUGGAUUUUUCUACACCAAUGGUUGACUUGGACGGGAAGCUAGAAGGAUUCAUUGUGAUCUUAGCUACAAUUCUAUGAUUAAGAAAACUUCGGGGUUAAACAAUAUUUAUAGGUUUAUAUAAAUCCUCUUUAGGUGUAGGAUCGGAUAAGUUGAGGUCGGUUGUAUAAUCUUUCCUUUUUGAAAAAAAAUCUUUUUUUCCUUUCUUAGAUUUGUUAUAUGACAUCCUUUUUUGUCUUUUUACCUUUACACAAACUUUCCAUCUUUAAUAAAGUUAUAUUUUUACUCUAUCUUCGAUUUUUGUGUUUUUAAUUUGUUAUAGUUUUGUUCUUACAGUUCUUUUGAUAUGUUAUAAAAUAAUUGUGUAGUAUUUUAAAAAAAAUAAAAAUAAAAAUAGAUUUUAUAGAGAAAUAGCCUUAAAUAAUCAUAAAAAAAGAUUUUGUUCUCAAAUUAGCAUUUAUAGGUCAAAAUGACAAAGAUAGAUUUCUUUAAAGAGGUUAAAGUAAAAUUAUCCCCAUUCUCUACGUACAGUAGAAUCUCUAUAAAUUAAUAAUGUUAGAAUUUUGAAAUUUUAUUAAUUUACAAAAAAAAAAAAAUUUAGAUUUAUUAUUUUAAAAUAUAUUUAUUCUAAGAUAAGAAAAAUAUUUGAUUUUAGUGUAUAGACAUUAAUUAUUAUUUUUUUUUUAAAUUUGACAUCUAUAUUAACUUUAUUAUAAUAUAUGGUGUAUAAUGUAUAUUGCAUUGAACUUAAAUGUGGUUUUAGAUAUAAUAUUAUUAAAUUUCAUCAAAAAUAUAUUAUGUGUAAAGAAAAUAUAAAGAUAAUUCCAUUGUGAAUAUAAAACAAACAAUAUAAUAAUAUGUUUUUACUUAUAUAAAACAUGUAUACAUAGAAAUUAUUAAUUUAUAAUUUUAAUGAGAUCAUAUAUUUACAUAUAAUUUUCUAAAAAAUUAUUAUCUUAUUAUUUGAUCAAUUUGUGUCAAAUUUUGAACUGGCCCAAGUUAGAACCGACGAAAUUUAUUAAUUUAUAGGAAGUAUUAAUUUAUCGAGUAUUAAUUUAUUGAGGUUUUACUGUAUAUAAAUAAAUAUUUCUUCUUCUAAAAUGUACAAUUUUUUUUUGAAAUUUCUUUUAAAACUUUUUUAAAAACUUUUUUUUUUGAUUUUUUUUGUCAAAACAAUUUUAAAAAAUAGAAAGGGCUUCCUUUGUAUAUGAUAUCUUCUAAAAUUUGAGUUUAUAAAGACUUUCCUGAAUAUGGAUGAUAUCUUCCUAAAAUUUAGAAAGCUAUUGAUAAAUAUGUAUAAUAUUUUCAUAAAUCAUAAAUAAAUUAUUUGGAAAAUAUUCUUAAAUUCAAGAAUACCUUUACAAAUAUAUAUUUAUGAAUAUCUUACUGAAUUUGAAGUAUAUGUAAAUUUAGUAAGAUAUUUUCAAAUAUACACAACAUCAUCCUAAAGUUUUCGGAAGACCUCAUGGAUUUGAUAUCUAAACUUUUCAAAGAUAUUAUAAAAAAAAUUUUCGUAAAUUUUAGAAAGAUAUAAAUAUAUUGAGUAAUAUUUUUAAAUAUGAUAUAAAUCAAAUUCACGAAGAUGUCAUACAGAUUUGAAGGCAUUCAUGAAUUUGGAAAAAUGAUUCACAAAUUCAGUAAGAAUACACGUUCAGGAUCUCUUAAACUUUUUCAAGAAAACUCAUUCAUAAAGAGAAAUUUUGAUUAUUAUUUUUUUGAAAUAGUUUGAAAAAUAUUUCAGAUAAAUAUUUUGAUUUCUUGUUUUAUAAUGUCUAAUAUUUAUUUAUUUUUAUAUGUUUAGUAAUUAAUUAUUGAAAUUAAAAAUAUGGAUAGAAUUAUUAUUUAACAUUUAAUACGCCUAUUUUGUCACUUUGACUUUUGAAGGCUAUUUAGGAGACAAAAAAUUAUAAAUAUUAUUUAGGAGAUUUUCUCUUUUUAUAUGUAUCAAACUUUAAUAAAUAAUAUUUUAUCUUAAUAAAUCUACAUUAUAUAUUUCAUACACUCUGUAACUUCAAAUUUGUAAAUUUCACAUUUAUACAUUUAAUACAUCCCAUAAUUAUACGUUUUUUUUCUUUGGAGGUAUCCCAAGUCUACGGAGAGUUUCAGACUAAUCCCUAAAAAGAGAGUGCGGUCCACGGAUAGACUCACUGCGGAUAUUCAAAUGGACCGUAAGGUAGGUCCAUAUCCACGUGGUCACAAGAAUAAAAUAUAAUGGGAUGCCUUCAAAUCCAUAUUGCUUGACAACUCAAAAUUCGUCUACCACUAAACCACCACCAUAUGGUUAAACUCUAUAUUUAUACGUUUCACAUUAGUUUAACUAAAAUUAUGUGUAUAAAUAUAACUUUAUUGAAAUAUUAUUUAUUUUUAUUCUGUUGAACUUAUUUGACAAGUCGUCAUUAAAAACAUCAUUACUUUAAGAGCAACAUAAUCAGUAGAAAAUCCUCUUGGGUUCUAAAAAUAAAAUAUCAAUAUUAUAUUUAUAUGAUUAAAUUUUUAUUUUUUAAAUCAGUUGAAAAAAUGGCUGAAUGAUACAUGUUGUUUGCCGUUAUUAAUAGGUUCCUAAAAGAUGAGGUUUAAGAACUUUUGUAUAUUCUUUUUGAUGUUUUUAAUAUUUUUUAUUUUUUUUAAGUAGUAAGAGCACUUUUAACGGCAGUUCUCACCUUAUAAUCAAGAGCUGUCUCUUCUGCCUCUUGUGCAAGAGGCGACUUUAGUUGGGUUUGUGUACUGUUCACUGACACGUGGCGGUCUGCGACUGAUCCGUUUUUAAUUUUUUUUUUUAAAUCGGACAAAAAAAAUCUAAAAACUCACACCCCCUUACCGUUAAUCAUGCUCUAAGAACCUUCUAAUAACUCCUUGUUAGAGCUGCUCUAAAUAGCAAGCUUUACUUUCCGUCACAUCACUUCAAUAUGAAAGACAUUGUUUGGCUCUAUUUUUUCACCAAAAUUGAGCUUGAUUUAACGGUGGAAAGUUCUUGAUCUGCUUUUCGAUCAAAAUACCUGAAAAUAUUUUUUACACAAUAAAUAUUUGGAAAUACCUAAAACACUACUGGAAAUUAUAUAAAAGACUUACAAAUUAACCCCAUUUGAAAUCAGGGUAUUUAAAUUUGUAAAACUUAAGAGCCAUUAAUGUCACUUGUGUCAAUUUCUCAACUAAAAGAAUGGCAAUAAAAUCGAUAGAUUAAUUAAGCUUCCGAAUAUAUAUAUCCCUUCAUGUCAUGACAAAAAUCAUGCAUUUUUAGAAGCCAAACAAAUGAACCAUUCUUACGUCGAAUAAUUGGUUUUAUUGAUUAAUUCGAGGUUCAUCAGAGACAUUCAACUUAGCCGAUGUGGGAUGACGUUGAAUUAUAACACUUGGUCAAUUUUUGACAGUGCUUCACAUUCCGAAUUCAUCACUUCAUCACAUUAUUUCUAAUUCAGUUUAGCUUUAUUUUUUACAUAUAAAUAUACUGGAUCGUAGUGCUCAUAAGCAAGAUUUACAAAGAGCUAUGGUCAUGACGAUCACCAGUUUGGCCAAAAAAGCCACCUGAAAAGUCAAACGUCAGCUUCUAUAUUCUGUUAUAAAAACAGAAUUCCAACAGUCCUAAGCUCUGCAUUGCCAUUAAAAGACUUUUUGCUUCAGCUUCCAAAAGUGUGCGUGAAAAACCGGUCUUACCAUAGCCCCAAAAUAAACAUGGUCCAUUGUCUGAAUGUAUGAUCCAACAUGCUCGACCUUAUUUUGUGUCGUUAUUAAAACAUGCAUCAAAAUUAGAUGAGCUCUCCUUCGAUUAUAUUCUUCUCCCAGUUCCCUUUAUACUUUGUAAGACAAUGUUUACCAGAAGAAUCGCAGGAAUCCGAAAGAAUCUGUACCAGAAGCGGUGUGGGUGACUCGGACAGGAUUCGUUCCGGAGAUGUGAGCAAUGCUCUUACGGAAGUUCUAAGAGAGGAGAUGUGUCUCCCUCGAGCGGUCAGUGGCAACGCCAAACCUAGCAGUUGCAGUGAUGCUGCUCCGACAGACGCUGCAAGUACGAAGUUGACAAGCCCAUCAGAACUACAAGCCAACUGGUUCUGAUGGGCGAGAUCGUCCUCCAAAGAGAGCCAAAAUCGCCAAGACAGACUUGAGGUCGAGUUCGUCGAGCGAUAGUGCGGGCACAAAGCCUUUCUGCUGACAGUUUUCCCAUGCGAACUGUGUAAAGAAUAUUUCUUUUCCCUGUUAUAUGGUCUUAUAGUUAUCCGUUUUCUAUUGGAAUAUUGUUAUUUCUUAAUAUAUUUGGUGACCAAUGAAAUUGGAAAUAAAGCAGUAAUUCCUAAUUUAUAUCUAGUUUGAUGUACGAUUGAGAUUAAUCUAAAGGAAACCCUAAAGAGGAAUUAGGUCCUCUAUCCACCUAUAAAUACAUAUCUUUAGACCAUCGUAAAGAUAUCCUAAAAGCAACAACUAACGUUAUAAGCGAGGCAGAGAAACCUAAGAGUUCCUAAGAAGAGAUUGAGUUGUUCAUCUUCCAUUCAGGAUUCAAUCCAUCCAGGAAGAUCUCUCAGGCGAAAUGAAUCCAGGUAACUCUAUAAACAUUCAUAUGAUUCUAUUAUGUGAUUAACCUAAAUGUUUAAAGAUCUUAGGGUUCAUGUAAAUUUAACUUACAUGUGGUAUCAGAGCAUGGUUAUGAACAUCUGUUUAAUCCAUUAAGAAUAAUAGAUCUAUGAACUUGAUAAUUGAAAUUGAUAGAUCUGAGUAUUAAGAUUUCUAGAUCUGUUUAUUAUGAGUUUUAUUUUCGUAUGUGUGCGAACUUUGUGCAUCUGAAAUAAUUAUUUUUCUGUUUAUGAGAGUCAUGCAUAGUUUGUGCAUCUAAGUAUUAUAAUUUACUGUUUAAAAGAAUCGUGCAUAGUUUGUGCAUACCCGAAUUAUAAUUUUUCGCAUUACAGAAUCCGUGCAAAAACGGUGUUCUGCAAAUUAGAGUUUUUUCGCAAACCCUUUUCCGUGCAAAUUUCGGGAUUAUGUAAAUUAGGGUUUCCAAAGCCCUAUCCUGUAAAUAAUGAUUCGUGAAGUUUUUGUGCAAAAUUGAUAAUAAUAAUUGGUCUGUGCAUAAUUAGUACAAAGUGUUUUGUAUAUACUGCAGAAUCGUUUUGCACAUAAUUCGUACAAAACCGAUUUUGCACUUAAAGUUAUAAUCUUUUCUAUUCAUAAUCCGUAUAGAAAUAAUUUAUAAACUAAAACAAAAUUAGUACAAAACAUUAUUUCACAUAAAGUGCUUAUUAGGGUUUAGAUAUCACCACAGUGACUUUACCUUAAUAGUUGCAACUAAAAAACAUUAUUUAAGCCAAAUUUUUGAUCUUCUUAUGAAUUAUUUAGUUACCCACAGGUAGACUAUAAUCAUGAGAAUUGAUUAAUUACUUAAGAGCGUAUGUAUUGUGUAAACUAAAGACAUCCACAGAUGAUUUGGUUUGAGUAAUUCAAUACAUCACUCAAUAAUGGAAUGAUUGUUAUCGUGAAAGCUAAGGAUAUCCACAUAUAACUUAGUUUGAAUAAUUCGGUACAUCAUUCAAUAAAGUUCCAUGAAUCUGUGACCUUAUAUGAGAUUAUGUGAUUCCCACAGGAACAUUAUAAUUUCUUGUCAUAUACAUUCAAUUUUUUCGUGUUGAUUAAGUUAUGAAGCCUAAUUAAUACUUGUUCUAUCUCUAAAAUGCAACAACUUCUUCCGCUAGUUUGUCAUCUAUGGUCUCUUCUGUCCCCAUCCUCAUUGGAACCAACUUCUCCAAAUGGAAAGAGAAAGUUAAGUUCACAUUAGGUGUACUAGAUUUGGACUUGGCACUUCAUGAAGAAGAGCCUAGCCAACUCACUAAUGAUAGUACUAAGAAGAAAAGGCAUUCCAUAAAGCGUGGGUGAAAGCUAACAGAUUGAGCAUCAUGUUCUUAAGGAUGACAAUAGCUAGCAACAUCAAAACUUCCCUUCCAGUUGCAGAGAAAGCUAAGGCUUAUCUAACGACUAUAGAAGAACGGUUUAAGACUGCAGACAAAUCCCUUGCUGGGAAACUUAUGGCAGAUCUUACAACCAUGAAACAUGAUGGCACAAGGUCUAUGCAUGAACAUUGCAUUGAAAUGACCAAUCUUGCGGCUAAGCUAAAGGGUUUAGGAAUGAGUGUGGAUGACUCAUUUCUUGUCCAGUUUAUCCUAAACUCUUUAUCUCCUCAGUAUGGACCAUUCCAAAUCAAUUACAACACCAUUGUUGAAAAGUGGACAUCGAUUGAAUUGGCUAACAAACUGGUCCAAGAGGAAUCAAGGCUUGGCCGUGAAGGUAUUAAGGUUGCCCACUAUGUCCAAGGAGCUGGACCUAAAGCUAGGAAAAGACAUCAACCAAGUCAUAAAAGAGCACCACCCAGGAUGAAUGAUUCUAGUCAAGUCAAUGAGAAGAAGGCAAGAAAAGAUGACCGAUGCAACUUUUGCAAAAAGUCUGGACACUUUCAGAAAGAUUGCCCUAAAAGAAAACAAUGGUUUGAAAAGAAAUGUAAUCCUAUGGGGUUCAGUAAGCUUUUUCGAAUCUAACUUUGCUCAUGUUUCUUCUGAUACUUGGUGGAUUGAUAGUGGUGCCAAUGUACAUGUAACUAAUUCCUUGCAGGGAUUCCUUACAACCCAGACCAUAAAUCCAAGUGAAAACUAUAUACUUAUGGGGAAUCGAGACAAAGCGCCAGUUGAAGCUAUUGGCACUUAUCGUCUCAUUUUAGAUAGUGGAUUUUGUUUGGAUUUAUUUCAGACUCUUUAUGUUCCAUCUAUAUCCCGUAAUUUAGUUUCAGUAAGCAAACUUGAUUUGGCUGGUUUUAAGUCUUCUCAAGGAGAUGGUUGUUUCAAUUUAUUUUUGAACUCUAAUAAAAUUGGUUCUGGAAUAUUAGUUAAUGGUCUUUACAAAUUAAAUUUGUCUGAUCAAAAUUAUGAAACACAUCUCACCCUGCAAGAUAAACGUAAAACUAAAGCAUGUGCGAAUGAUUCAUAUUUCUUGUGGCAUAAAAGACUAGGACACAUUUCUAGUGAAAGAAUCAAAAGAUUGGUAAAAGAUGGAGUCGUACCGAAUCUUGAUUUUACCAACGGUAAAGAGUGUGUAGAUUGCAUUAAGGGUAAGCAAACUAAACACACUAAAAGAGGAGCCACAAGAAGUACACAGCUUCUUGAAAUCAUACAUACAGAUAUUUGUGGACCUUUUGACGUUCUAACUUUUGGAGGUGAAACGUACUUCAUUACUUUUAUCGAUGAUUAUUCACGUUAUUGUUAUCUCUAUCUAUUGCAUGCAAAGUCUCAAUCCGUGGAUGCUGUACAAGUAUUCAUUACUGAAGUUGAGAGACAAUCAGAUAGAAAGGUGAAAAUCAUUAGGUCAGAUAGAGGUGGUGAAUUUUAUGGCAGAUAUGAUGAAACAGGACAACAUCCUGGACCAUUUGCCAAACUCCUCCAGAAAUUAGGAAUCGUUGCUCAAUACACAACGCCUGGUUCUCCAUGGCAGAAUGGUGUAGCUGAAAGGCGUAAUCGUACUUAUAUGGGAAUGGUUAGAUCCAUGAUGAGUCAUGCUAAUUUACCUAUAUCCUUGUGGAUGGAUGCAUUACGAACUGCAGUCUAUAUCUUGAACCGAGUUCCUAGCAAGGCAGUUCCAAAGACUUCUUUUCAACUGUGGAAAGGCUGGAAACCUAGUCUGUCACACCUCCAAGUUUGGGGAUGUCCAGCUGAAGCAAGAAUAUACAAUCCACAUGAAAAGAAAUUAGAUUUCAGAACGUUCAGUGAUUUCUUUAUUGGUUACCCUGAGAAGUCUAAAGGAUAUAGAUUUUACUGUCCAACCCAUACUACGAGAAUAGUAGAAACCGGUAAUGCUAGAUUUUAUGAGAAUGGUGAGAUUAGUGGGAGUGAUAAAAUUUAAGAUGUGAUCAUUCAAGAAAUUAGGGUAAAUAUGCCUUUACCCUUAGUUCCGAAUGUUGGGAAUCCUCCUGUUGUAGAACCGUUGCACAACGAGGAAAACCAGUUGAAUGAUCCACCACUCCUUAAUGAAAAUAUCGCCAAUAAUGAACAUGAAGCACACGAGGAACCAGCAUUAAGAAGAUCAACUCGUGAGAGAAGAUCAACUAUUUCUGAUGAUUAUGUGCUUUAUCAAAUAGAAUCUGGAGAAUGGGAUUUAAAAGAUCCGGUUUCUUAUUCACAAGCCAUGAAAGAUGUUAAUUCUGAUAAAUGGAUCGAGGCCAGUAAAGAUGAAAUAGACUCAAUGGUUAAGAAUGAAGUUUGGAAUGUUGUUCCAUUGCCUGAAGGACACAAAGCAAUUGGGUGCAAAUGGAUCUAUAAAUCCAAGCUCGAUUGUCAUGGCAAUGUUAAACGACGUAGAUCCAGACUUGUAGCCAAAGGGUAUAAUCAGAAAGAAGGCAUUGAUUAUGGUGAGACUUUUUCACCUGUGUCUAGAAAAGACUCUCUCAGAAUUAUAAUGGCAUAUGUAGCUGAAUAUGAUCUUGAGUUACAUCAAAUGGAUGUGAAAAUCGUCUUUCUUAAUGGAGACUUAGAAGAAGAAGUCUAUAUGCGUCAACCUGAAGGCUUCAUAAUCGAAGGUCAGAAAGAUAUGGUCUGCAAAUUGAAGAAAUCAAUAUAUGGACUGAAACAAUCUUCGGGGCAAUGGUACUUAAAGUUUGAUGAAACCAUUACGAAAUUUGGUUUCAAAGAAAACAUUGUGGAUCCAUGUAUAUACCUCAAGAGUGGGAGUAAGUUCAUAUUUUUGGUUAUGUAUGUUGAUGACAUAUUAUUAGCCAGCAGUGAUCUUGGUUUAUUACAUGAGACUAAGAGUUAUCUCUCUGAGAAUUUUGAAAUGAAAGAUAUGGGUGACGCAUCCUAUGUGAUAGGAAUUGAGAUAUUCCGUGACAGAACACUAGGAAUUUUGGGAUUGUCUCAGAAAGCAUAUAUUGAUAAAGUUCUUGAGAGAUUCGGCAUGAUGACAUGUUCUUCUAGCAUGUUCCUAUGCAUAAAGGUGACACGCUUAAUCUUAAGCAAUGUCCGCAGAAUGAAAUGGAACGUAAUGAAAUGCAAAAAUACCCUUAUGCAUCUCUUGUGGGAAGUUUGAUGUAUGCACAGGUUUGUACCAGACCUGAUAUUAGCCACGCAGUUGGCAUGCUGGAUAGAUUUCAGAGUAACCCAGAACUCGCUCAUUGGCAGGCUGCAAAGAAAGUUUUGAGAUACUUAAAGGGAACAAGAAACUACAUGUUGACAUAUCGAAAAUCAACACAUCCACAGAUGGUUGGAUUUUCUGACUCAGAUUUUGGUGGAUGCAAAGACUCUAGACAUUGUACUCUUGGCUAUGUGUAUCUCCUUGGUGGAGGUGCCAUCUCAUGGAAAAGCCAGAAGUCAGAGUUGAUAUACACAUCCACUAUGGAAGAUGAGUAUGUUGCAUGUUAUGAGGCUUGUAUUGAAGGAACAUGGUUGCGGAAUUUUGUGUCAGAGUUUGGGGCUUUGAGUUUUGUUGACAAGCCUCUCACUCUUUACCGUGAUAAUCAAGCUGCAAUCUUCUUCGCUAAGCAUGAUAGGAUAUCUAAGGGAGCCAAGCAUAUGGACCUCAAAUAUCUAUCACUGAAGCAAGAUGUCAAAAGAGAAAAGUUUGUCAUUGAACAUAUAGGCACUGAACUUAUGGUUGCAGACAUAUUUACAAAAGCUUUAUCUCCAAAGACUUUCAUAAAGCAUGCUGAAAGUAUGGGUCUUGAGGAUAGCGUCUAAUAUUGUUUGUUUACGAUUAGCCUAUGUAUGACAAUUAUUUGAGCUCUUUUAUGACUUUUACAUCUUUUAUAUAUUCUGCUUCCAAUGUGCACACACAUUAUUGUUGGUUGGAUUUAUGAUAACAAAAUGAGUCUCUCGUUAAAGACAUUAAAGGGACCAUUACGAUACUCCUACUUAUGUUUAUGGUCUAACUAUGAAGGUGGUCAAUGCGGUAGUACAUGGAAGGGAUCAUGUUGCAGAAUGAUGUGCGACCGCCAUGACUCUCAUUGAUUACUAGAUUAGUCAAGACACUUAUGAUGACCAAAUGAAAAAAAAUAAAGUUAUAGCAUAUUAUGCCGGCCUUAUGAUUUCUUAAAGAAAACAUUAGUGGAUCUCAGUAACGACCAAGUGGGAGACUGUAAGGAAUAUUUCCUUUCCCUAUUAUAUGGUCUUAUAGUUAUCCGUUUUCUAUUGGAAUAUUGUUAUUCCUUAAUAUAUUUGGUGACCAAUGAAAUUGGAAAUAAAGAAGUAAUUCCUAAUUUAUAUCUAGCUUGAUGGACGGUUGAGAUUAAUCUAAAGAAAACCCUAAAGAGGAAUUAGGUCCUCUCUCCUCCUAUAAAUACAUUCUUUAGACCAUCAUAAAGAUAUCCUAAAAGCAACAACUAAUGUUAUAGGCGAGGCAGAGAAACCUAAGAGUCCCUAAGAAGAGAUUGAGCUGUUCAUCUUCCAUUAAGGAUUCAAUCCAUUCAGGAAGAUCUCUCAGGCAAAAUGAAUCCAGAUAACUCUAUAAACAUUCAUAUGAUUCUAUUAUGUGAUUAGCCUAGAUAUUUAAAGAUCUUAGGGUUCAUGUAAAUUUAACUUACAAACUGUCCUAUCACAGAGGAUCCAAACACCAUACCAUAUCUGGUGACACUACAAGAAAAUAGUCAUAUUGCAAUAGUGAUAUAUUGUUGCAAUAUGCUCAUAUAUUUUUGCAAAUAUGAAAUUGCAAUAAAAUUGUGACAAAUUUUAAUUUUUGUUGUUUGAAUGCUGCAAAUUCAUGUUUAUCACAUAUACGUAGCAAAAUUAGCAACAAAUUAAAUUGUUGCUAUAUAUGUCAUAUUAUUGCAACAAUAUUUUUAUAACAACCUUUUUAAUAUAUUUACAACGUAUUUGUGCAACACUAAGAAUAUGCACAAUGCAUGGUGGUAUUAAUCAACAGCCACCUUUUUACUUUUUUACAAUCCUCAACACCCUAUUAUAUUUUUUAUUUCACAUAAUCAUUGACAUUUAUUUAAUUUUUAUGUUAUAUAAUAUUUUUUUAUAAAAAUUAAACAUUCUACCAUUUUACUAAGAAAAAUAAACAUUUUCAGUUUUUAAUUUUUAAAGUUUUAUCAUGAAUUUUUAUUUAAUAAAUUUGUGUUUAUUUAUAUAAAUAAGAAUUUAUAAGUAAAUAAUAUCAAUAUUAUAAUAAAUUAUAUGUAUCCAAAUUAAAUAAACCAAGUCUCUAUUUAUAAAGCAUAAAAAUGAUGAAUUUUGAUAUAAAAACACUUUUAAAAAAUAUUUCCUACAAAAUAAGUCAAUUGAAACAAAUAGGUUGAAUAAAAAUCCAAAUUAUCAAAACAACCAUUUAAAAUUUAACAGUUAUUUAAUUUUUAUUUGUUUGAUUUAAAAAAUGGAAUCUCCUACAUUCACUUUCUUCCCGAGAACAUGCGGUACACCUAUGAAGUUUGAUUGAUUCAAAUAUUUCUUGUGGACCUCACAUGUAUAUUAUUCAACUAGUUAAAUAUAUUCAACUGAAAUUAAUCCGCUUCAUUUUUUACUUUAUUUCAAUACUUUCAUUAUAAACUUUCAACAAUUGAAAAUUUUAUUCAACUACUUCAAUGGAAAUGGUCUAAUAGUGGCAAAUCAUUGCUAUGUAAAAUAUACAGCAAACAACAUAGAAAAUGUGCAACAAAUUUUUAUUGCAAUUUUGUAUUAUUACUGCAACAAGACGUCAAACAAAUGGACGCAACUUAAAUUGUUACAAAAUUUGCUAUAUAAAAUAUCUAGUGAAUGUUGUUGCAAUUUUUUGUUGCAGAUUUUUUUAUAAUUACUUUUAUAUAAUAUUUUUGGUGCAAAUAUUUUGUGGGGAUGGUUAUUAUGUGGUUACCAAUUAAUAUUUUAAUAAAUUGUUAAUUUUGUCGCAUGAAUGAUUAUUGCAGUAUUUUGUUAUAAUAAUAUUAGAUGGAUAAUUUGUUUGCACAGUAAAUAUAUUUUGUAAUAACACAAAAACCAAAUAAGUGAAUAACCAACUUUAUUAAAUAAACAGAAAUAUUAAAAAGUUUAACAAUGCAUUAUUAGAUAAAAACCAACAAUAAUUUGAAAGCUAGAUAAACCUAAUAUAUAAGAACUUAGAAAAACCUAAUAAGAACUUAGAAAAAUAACUAAAACAGCCAACUGAAACUUACGGUUGACGCCCGUGGAUAGAAUAGCUGGACAAAAGAUUGCUAUCAUUUUCUCUAAUCCUUUAAGUUUGCUCAGCCUUUUUUUUAUAUUUGCACUUUUUUCAGAAAUGUCUUGCACCUUUUUUCGAAAGUCUCAUCAUUUUCUAAGCUGAUUUGAUUUCAAUGGUCACUGGCAAUUUACAAUUGAUUGAAACUUCACUAAAAAGAGAUCCUAGACCAAACACACGACCUUACGUGGAAUCCACCAACUGCAGAAUAUAAUUGUAUGUCAGACAAAAAAACUAUCUAUGGUGAAAACUAGGAAAACAAAAAGAUUUUUAAAGAUGUUACAUUACCUUCAAAUACAUUUCAUUCUUUUUCUCAAGAGUUAGCUCUUCGGUUGUUAGGAUAUCAUCUUCAAGCAUAUGAUCAGCUACAUUUUUUUUUCAAAUCCUUCACUAAUUAGCCUUGCCCUUUCAUCCAUAAAUGAUCCAUCUGAUUCUUGUGUCUCACGAAGCACAUCAAUGUAAGAUGCAUCUCUAUUCUUUUCGUGUUACAAAAUAGAAAUGUUAGAAAAUAAUAUUUAAAGUAGUACGAUGAAAACAAUAUAUCAUUGUUGAGCCAGCUCGGUGCUUAGAGGUCCCAGCACCAACCUCAGUGCUUAUGAGGUUUCAGCACCAAGCGGUAUGCCCACUUCCGUCUCUUUGAAGUAUGACAGAGCACAAUGCUUACGUGAAGAUGACAGUUGCUUCUUGACUCCAAUAUCUACAUUUACUUCUGCUGCUCCCUUUUUUCUUUUAAAAGGGGUCGUUUUUCAAGAGAUGGAAGUCAACGAUGAGUUCGCUGCGAUGGAUACAAAUUAUAUAUUGGUUCUAUAUUUCAUUUUAAAUCAACUUUUACAAUUUGUAUUUAGUGAAUAUACAUACAUUCUAGUGACUUUAACCAUUCUUCGAUUUUAUUAUAGAUAGGAAAUCAUUGGUCCAUCAUAAAGCCUAAAGAAUAAACAUCCAUUGCCGAAUCAAGAUUCAACAUAUAUUUAAGGAAAAUAAAUCAUUUGAAUACAAUCACAACCACAAAGCUCCAACAUCCUUAAGAAUUGGAACCAACUCACCGGAGAUAUGAGUGGCCAUAACCCUAUCUAGCCCUCCAAACAACCUCCCUCCUAUAUAAACCGCCGGUAAUUUCACCCUUUCUCUGCCGCCUUCAACGCCAAUCCUUUCUAGCUCACUCAUAACUUCCUCUUCCUUCUCCUGAUCAUCGAUCUCAAGAACCGCUGGGUUUACUCCGAGUCCAAGAAGCAGGCUCUUGACAACGUGGCACAUACAACAACCUCUCCGUCCAAUCACGAUCAGCGCGUUCUCCUCCACCAACGUACGAACAUUCUCGCCGGUUUUCUCAGUUUUAAGUGGCAGCGGUCGAGGAGAUUCAGCGGCAGGGAUCAUAUUAUAAUGCCUUGUACAAGAAAUCGUUCCUUGCAUUGUUCAAAAAUGAUUUAAAUAUGUUAAUGAGGAAGGGGAACGUUUUGUCAUAUAUAUAUUAUAUACGAAGGAGGGUGUAUGGAGGAAAUUUUAGCGUCAACGAUGGUUACGUGAGGAUGUGCGUCAUAGCAAACGCUGCAUGAUGCUGUUUUACGUAACCGAUAGGAGUGGACUUAGUCAUAGGACCGUGUCUUAUUACCGUGUCACAUGAUUCAUGCUGACUUUUUACAGCCCACUCUAUUAUUCUAAUAAAAAGCAGCACGUUUUUUUAAUUUUCUUUUGUUUCCUGUCUACGUGUUGGGUAUGAUAGAGAUUUUGUAUCAGUAAAUAAAUGGGAAAUUACUAUUUUCUUUAUAAUUGUUUUGUCCUUGUUAGACGGUUGUAUAUAUAUAAUAAGUUGAUUACUCGAAAUACUGGCAUGUGACCACGUAGUAGUGGAUGCUUACCGACCAAAUCACGUGACUAUUUAUAAAAUUUGGUAAUUUUUUGGUUUUAAUUUGGAAGUUUUAAAGUCAGGCUUAUUACCUUUCACAAAAAUAAUCAAACUCGUGUCCUUUAAGAUAGCCACAUUUUCCACUAUUACAACACCGUAUCGGUAAUCUAUCGCUAAAAUAGAGUAACUAGAGUAAAUUUUGUUCCAACGGUUUACUAUAUAAUAAAAUUACUCUAUUAUAAAGAACGAAAAAUAGAAAGAUUUCACUUUUUUAUUCUAUAAUAGAGUUAUUUUAUUUUAAUGAGAAUUAUAAAAAAAAAUAGGUUUGAGUGAGAGAUGUCCUAAUAGUAUUAUUGUGUAUACACAAUAAUAAUUACAUGAUUUUAGUAGAGUUUCUCAAAAAAAAACUAAAAUUUUCUUCGGUUUGGUUAUCUGUGUCGAUGUGAUUUAAAAAAUCUAAAAAUUUAUAACUUUACUAAGUAAAAACAAAUACUAAUGUGCAAAUUCAUAGUAAAUAAAGCAAAUCACAAAUAAUAAUAUUUUUAAGUAUUAUUCGUUAUGUGAAUAUAUACACAUUAAAAUUAUAUUAAUAUAAUAUUUUACGUAAGCUUUACAAUAUUUUUAUUUAUAUUAUUUUAGUUAUUAAAGUUUUAAAAGUAAAUAAAUUUUUAUUUUGUAAUAAAAUAUUAUUUUAUAAUAUUUUUAAUUUUAAUUUAUGUUUUAAUUUUUUGUAUGGCUCGAAUCAGAUCAAAAAAUUAAAAUCUAUGGUUAUAUUUUUUCCAGAUAUACAGACACCGAAUAUCUGAGUAAAUAAAGAUUGAAUUUGAUUGAAUAAUUGAUUAUUCGGGCGAAAUAGAUCGGAUCAAGAAAACUUCCAAAACUCGAAUAUUCGAUUCGUGUCAGAGAGUAGAGAAAUAUGUAGUUAAAAUGUUUUCACUUACGUUAUUUAUUUUGCCAUAUGAUUCUGAACUAAAAUGAAGUUUAAUAUUCCCUUUGAAUUUAAACAUUGAACUUGCAAAGUAAAAAAUACGUUAAGUCUAAGACUGAAACGAUCCGAAUUGUCGAAUUUCCAAACAAAAUUUGAGCACUUGGUAUUAUUUGGUAAGUGAAUUUUCAUGUUAAUAUAAUGUUCCUAUUUUUGUUCAAAAGGUAAUAUUAAUUGUAGUCAGAGCAUUCCACAUAGGUGAGGAGCCAUAUUAAUGCACAAGAGAAAAUGAAAAAUAAGAAAGAUCUCCAUAAAGAACAAUCUUCAAUCGAUGGACGGUGGAAAAAAGUCGGUAUAAGUUAGCACCAGAUAGCAUCACCAAACAACGAUGUGAUACUGGUCUAGUAACAAAUAAUUUUAAAAAUUUUAAAUAAUUUGAGCUAAUGAUAUCUUAGUACAUUUUAUCAUGUGAUCAAGUGGAUACAGUUCCAUUAUUACGAUCCAUUUAAAUAUUUAGAAAAAAACCAUUUGUAAAUUACACCUCUAUCUAGAAAUUAGUCUAGACUCUUCUAUUAGUUCGGGAUUUAACAAGUUAAACAAAAAAAGUUAACACCAAGGCAUCAACUUAGUGCAUUAUUGUUGUAAUGGUAUAUUGACGUCAUUUAUUCUUAAAACUCACCUCAUCAAUUUCUUCAUUAGGACUACUAUUUGGUGGUAUCAUUUCUUUAUGUAAAGUCACGCCACCGGUUUAACCUCUUAAAGGUUCUUUACGACCAGAAAAGCCUUUCCAAUUGCAUCGUUCCACCAAAUCCUAAGAUGGAAAUGUCCAUCACCUACCUACAACGUUUUUUCUUUAAUAAGAGUAUUGGGGACUGACAAAUACAUGUCCGCUAAUAAUUAUACAUAAAAAUAUUUGAGCAAAAUAAUAUAACUUUUUUUAAAAGAGUUCAACUAAAAGUGUGCUGAAAUGUUGAUAGUAAUUCAAAAUGUGUUCUUAACUAAAAUAUGGUAAAAUAAAGGGUAAAUCUUAGGAUAAAUUAUGUUUAAAUAAGGAUAAAAGAGAUUUUAAUUUAGCAAUUUUGAAGAACAAUUUUGGCAUUUGAUUGAGAAGCCAAACACAUUGUUCUCGAAAGUGUUCAAAGGUCAAUAUUUGAAGAAUGCAUCACCUCUGGAACCGAUCAAAUCAUGCUCACCAUCAUAUGGCUGACGUAGUAUCGUCUCUGGUAAAUCUCUAGUUAACAAAGGAAUAAUCAAAAAAGUGGAAGCAGAAUCAUCUAUCUCAGAAUGGAAUGAUUCUUGACUCCUAACCACUCAUUCGAAACCAGCAAAUAAAAAUUAACGCAACUUUUACCCGAAAUUUAAAGUGGAGUCUCUUAUCAAUACAACAUCACGAACACGGAAUACUCACGUAAUUCGGCCUUUAGUAGAUCCUCAUGAUGCGAAGAACAUUGAGAGUAUACCUUUGGACCGAUCCAAGUUAGCAGACGGUGAUGGUUGGCAUUAUACUAAUAACAGAAAAUACACUGUGAAAUCUGCAUAUCAAGUGGAACAAAUCUACCCAGACAUGGAAAUAAUGCCACCAGUGUUUAGUCCAACGGUUAAUGACUUAAAGGCCCAAUGCUGGAAAGUCUGAUAUCCACCAAAGAUAAAGCAUUUUCUCUAGCAACUCGUAUCUGGCGGUAUAGCGGUUAAGAAAAAUUUGCCAAUGAGAGGGAUCCAGAGUGAUAUACAAUGCGCCGGAUGUGUAGCAGCUGAGGAAACAAUAAACCAUGUAUUUUUUGAAUGCCCUCCGGUGGUACAAGUUAGUCUGGGCACUAUUAAAUAUUUCAUCGAAUUCAUAUAUUUUUCCUGCUACUGGCUCUUUACAAACAUGAAUCAUCUGUUUGGAGAGUUUCUCCAAAUUUGGAAGAUCAUCAUUAUGCUUGGGUCUUAUGGUAUAUUUGGAUAGUAGGAAACAAUAACGUCUUCAGUAAUAUGGAUAUAGAUCCUAGAGAUAUUCUCAAAUUGGCAAAGACAGAAUCAUCACUAUGGGCUGAAGCACACAUAUCACUUGCUCAGAGGGUCACUCAAUCAAGGGAAGUAGAUGAGCUGAUUUUACCUUCCAUAUCGGGACAAUGGGGUUCACGGAUGGAUCAUAGAAAGAGGAGGACAAUCAUUCAGGACAAGAUUGGUAUAACACGCUGGAAGGUUUGAUGGAUUAAUGAGGGCAAGGAACACAAGACACAAUCUUUCUCCCCUCUAUUCAGAAAUAGAGGUACUCAUUUGAGCAAUGGAAUGUAUGAAAAAUUUAAGGCAGUUUCAUGUAACGUUUGCAACAGAUUGUUCUCAAUUGGUGAAGAUGGUUUAAGAUCCAGAUGAAAUACCAGCUUUUACAAGUUAUCUAGAAGAUAUCAAGAUCCUCAAAAGUAGUUUCAACCACUACUACAAGAAAAACUGUGUUUAGCUACAAAUUAGCUACAAUUUUUGUUUUUGUGGCUGUCUUUUUGCCACAAUUAUCUACGGAACGGCCACGAUUUUACAAACCUAUAAUUUGUGGAUAUCUUGCGGAUUUUCGUAGCUAAAUAGCUACAAAUUUUAUCUUGUGGCUAUUCGAGGAAAAAUAGUCACGAUAAACCACAAAAUAGAUUGUAGAAAUAGGAAUCCACGAUUAGCCACGAAAACAGUUGUAGAAAUACAUAGCCACAAUGUAGUUUGUGGCUAUUAAAAGAAAAAAUAUUCCCUAAACUUACCCUAAACCCUAAAUUUUUAAUCUCCGAUCAUAAAAUCUAAAUCAUAAAUCACAAACUUUUCAAAUAAAAUAACUUAUAAUGUGUCAUAUAAAAUCAAUCACUUAUAAUAAAUUCCUCUCAAACUUUAAAUUCUAAACAAAUGAUCUCAAACUCUAAAUAUAUUCUAAACCCUAAACUUUUAAUCUUUAAUGAUAAACCUUAAAUCUUAAAUCAUAUUCAUAAAAUAAACAACAAAAUUUACUUUUUGUUUUUGUUGAGUAUGUUAUUGAAACACACGUAAUAAUUAAAUCACAUGUGUUUGUACAAUAUAUUAAACUACUAUAUAUAAUAUAGCUAAAAACUAAAAUCUAACUUUUAUAAAAAAAUAUAAAUUUAUAAAAAUGUUUAAAUAAUAAAUCCAAACUCUAAAUUUAACCCACACCAUAUCAUGAAUCUAAAAUCCUAAAUCAUAUUCUAAACUUAAACCUAAUGUUAUACUACUUUAAAUAAAAAAUUACAAAUAGUAUAAUUUCUAACUAGACCAUAAAUCCAACGACUAAACUUAAAAACUUGUAGUUACUGAAUUAAAUUAUAAAUAAUAAUUUUUGAUUAGAAAAGAUGAUUAUAAAAUAUAAACAAUAAACUAAAAUAUAGUGUUUAAUAUUGGUCCAUAUAUGUUUGAGAUCUGAAACGUAAAGAAAAAAAACACUAUGAAAAGAGGUCACAAUAAACGAAAAGGGUGGAAAACAUAUUGGGCCAUCCAAUUAAUAAAAAAGUAAAAAAUUGAGUUUAAUCUUCUAAUUUUUCAUUGGCUAAAAGAGUAAGACGUGGAUUGCAAUAAAAAAAUAUUGAAUUUAAUCUCUUCUAAUUUUUCAUUGGCUAAAAGAGAAAGACAUGGAUUGCAAUCUUAUACCAUUGAUCUAUAUUAAUCCAAUGGUCCAUAUGUUUUUCAUCCCUUCCAUUUAUUUUCUCUUCUCAUAUGUGUUUCUUCUUUUACGUCUCAGAUCUCAAUCAUUUUUUUUUCACCUUCUUCCUCUUAUGUAUCAUCUCUAUUCUCUUCCUCCAAUAUCCACUUUCAGAUUUCAAUCACACUCCAAUCCAUCUAGCCUCUCACUUCGAACCUACACCUAGGGAUCUGUAAACAACGCAGCAAGAAUAUCUGCUCGAAUCCAUCUCCUACACGGCUCUGCGGCUUCGAAAUCACCAUCUUGGUUUACUCAAGGGCUACGGUUUCAUCAGAAUCACUGUCUUCGUCAUUCUUCAACUCUGCACCUUCCGUUUUGUUGGACGUCAGUCUGCUCUGCGGCUCCACCAGCAUCUCCAGAUCUCCUUCUCUGCUCAAGCUCCAGAAAUUGCCUCUUCAGUUUCAUUCCAAGUCAUGUCGUCUCUGCCUCCGGUAAAGUCGUGUCUGCUCAACCUGUAGAAACGUCGCUCUUAGCUUCUUGCUUGUGAUGGCCAAAGCACCAGGAGCAAGACGACCCUUGACGGCGCAAGAGAGAAAACCGGUUUGGAAUUAGGGUUUUUUUCAUUAGAUUUUGGUUAUUAUUUUGAUUUAGUUGUUAAGGUUUAGGUUUUGUAAACCAGAUUUAUAAACUAGUUUAAUUUGUAAACCAAAUUGUAGUUUGGUAAUCAAAUUUAAUCUGAAAUGAAAUUCAAUUAUAAAUCAAUAUUUGAUUAUUUGUAAACCAAAUUAGUUUAUAAAACAAAAUUUUUAUUGCUAAAACAUUUUUUUCCUGUAAAAUAAUUAUUUUCCUGUAAAAUAAUUAUAUAUAUAUAUAUAUGUAUUUUUUAAUUCGUGAUUUAUAUUUUUUGAAAUAAAUAUGAAUUAGCCACAAUUUAUAAUGUGAUUUUUUGUGGCUAAAAUAACUACAAAUAUGGUUUGUAACUACAAAUAUGGUUUGUAGCUGUUUGUGGAUUUUAGCUACAAAUAUUGUUUGCGGCUAAGUUGUAGAGAGACAGCCACAAAUAACAACAUUAAAUAACAACAUUUUAUCGAUAGUCACAAGCCUAUAGUCAACGAAAAUUAUUUGUGGCUAUCUGUAGCAAUGGGUGAAAUACCUACAAAAAUAAGUUAAUAGCCACAAAAAAAAUUGUAGCUAUUUCAAGUUUUUCUUGUAGUG